GAGGGAGAGGAUUUAAGACAUUCUCAAAAAUGGGACUGGCCUGAAUUAGGUGGCUGGACACAGGUCAUUGGUAGAGCGCCCGCCUAGCAUAAUCAAGGCCUGUGUUCCAUCCCUUGCACUGCUCCCAAGGAAAAGCAACUGGAAUCAUCUCAAAGUUGCUGGAAAGGCAGCUUCCCUCAGAUUGAAAGGGGACUCACCCACAUUCUCCCAGGUUUCUAGCAUGGGUAGCUCAUCACCUAUUGACUACAAUAGGAAACAAGGGUGAGAAAACAAGGGUGUAGCUGGGAGAAAGAUUCAUCGGUGUUUCGAAUGGAGAAACGACACUUUUGAAAUGAAUGUGCGGCUUCCCAAUGAGAAAUAGGAGCCAGGUGGUAGCAGGCAGUGGCAAGGCAAAUUUCUCCUCCCCUCCUCUUCCUCCUGAGACAGGGUCCUUGACUGUCCUGGAGCUCCCUAUGUAGGCUGGCCUGGAAUUCCCAAAGAUCCAUCUGUUUGUGCCUCCCAAAUGCUGGGAUUAAGGGCAUUGCUCCCUGCCCCCAACCCCACCCGCCUCUCUUACUUUUCUUCUUAAGCCCUUUCCUUUGGCAUCCUUUUGCCUUGCCCACGCAGUUUUUUGGCUGCUCCUGGCCUGCAGAUUCUCUUUUCUCUCUUUAAGCAAGUUGUUUACCAAUACCCUUCAAGCUUCCUCCACCUGUUCGAGUGGCACGACUGGGACCUGGAGAAACGUAUUCAGGGCUACUGUGCUAAAAGACUCCUCCUCCUCCAAUGGUUAUAAACAGUCUCGUGUUCAAAACAGCAGUAAACAAAACUUGCUCUAAUAUAGUCUCUUUUUCUUUUUUUUAAUUUGCUCCAGAUAACGAUCGCACCUCUUGGUCAUCAUGCUGGCAACCCACAUGGAUAAGUUUGUACCUAGGUAAAGUCCACAGCCUCUGAUUGCUAUAGUUGUUUUUUUUUUUUUUUUUUUUUUUUUUUUUAGGCUUUUCGUUGGAACGUAUAGAUUCUAAGCACAUUUGCUAUUUGAAAGUACCUUUGUUUUGUGCCUUGAGCAACUAGCCAGAGGCAUUUUAAAUUACGGCGGUGACUAAGAAAGUAAGAUCUAUGCAGAGAAAUCUGAAGAAUUUUAUCCAUUCUUAGUUCUUGUUAACAGGCUCAUUGUGUGCCGUGUGGAUGGCUUGGGUCUAGGACAGAUUUCUCUCUGAACUUGACAGCAUGGGUAUAUGAGUGUAAUUUGGCCUUUCGUUUUCCCUGGCAGCCGGUGCCCGUCCAUUUAUAUGGUAUGUUCACAGGAGAGCUGACAAGUGUUGAGAGGUUUUAUUUGAUAUGCAUUUUUUUCUCCUUUUUAGAUGAAAAAAAAAUCCGUAUAAAUAGGUACUUGUUAGCUAGUUUUCCUAGUUAGUCUUGUGAUCAUAACCAAAUGUUUCAUUAGAGAGUUUCACCCCAGCAGGUUAGUGUGCAGAAUGGUGGUACUGUGCUUAAUAUUCGUGGCGAAGCUGUACACAGGGAGAGUUUUUAAUGACACAAAUGCAAAGCCACAUUAUUUUUCCUGUAUGACUUGCAAAAGCCAUUCCUUCUAAAACAGGGCUAUUUAUGCUAAUUUGCAAUAGUUACUGAAUUGCAGGCGGCUCUGUGAAUUUACUUUUCUUGGCAGUUCUAGAAUAUCUUGCCAUAACACAUACUGAAAAACUGUUUGACGAGUUAUGAAAAUCUGGAUGCACUGCAGGUCGGUCUUGUGCAAACCACGAAAUGGUGAUUCCAUUAGGAAAACAAAACCUGUUAUCUGAUCAGGUUAAGGAAGAAGUGAAACAAGGAAAGUUGGGGGGUUUUGAAUGGAAGACAGGCUUUGUAGGGGUGCAGAGUUCCAUUAGUAAGGUUGGUUACUUGGUAUGUAACUUGGUCUGUGGUACCCAGCCCUUACUUGGUUUUAUUGAUCUUUUCGAAGACGCUGAAUUGUGCAGUCCGUGAAGCUCACCCGGGAGGCUAGUAACACACACUUUUCUCCAGAAGAAUUCAUUAUUGUUUGAGACAAGGUCUUUUGUAGCUUUAAUUGGCCUCAAACUCACUGAUUAGCCCCCGAUGAACUUAAACUCCUCAGCUUCCUGCCUCUACCUCAGACGGGUUGGGAUACAGGUGUUUGGAAUCAUAGCCAUUUUGGCAGCUUAACUGGCAUUUUGUUUUCUUUUUGGAAGAAUAGAAAAAAAAUACUUUACUGUCUUUAUCAUGUAUUGCACAAAAAAUCUUUAGUUUCACCAUAAAAUUAAAUGCAUUUAAAAAAUAAAAUAGGGAAACUAGUCUAAACCCAGUAGACUUCUGGAUCCUGACUCAAUUUUUUGGUAAAGCAAGUAAAAUUUUACUCCAAAUAUUUUUAAAUGAGAUUGUUUUGUUUGGAAUUGUGGUAAAUCAGGAUAGGUAUCUUGGGGAAAGGACCUUGGUUUAUAAUUUAAACUAUGAAAUAUUUAAUUUUUUACCUAAUUUAAAUGAUUCAAAGAGUUUCAAAAUAGGUGUAAAGUUUCCUUAAGCAAAUUAAUAAAAGGACAAAAAGACUUUAAAAUAAAGAGAAAUAAACAAUAGGCCAUUAGCGAGAUAGAUAACCCUUCAUAAAUAAAUUUGUCAAUACAGGAAGAUGUAAAAAUCUUAAAGAGGGGUUGGGGAUUUAGCUCAGUGGUAGAGCACUUGCCUAGCAAGCACAAGGCCCUGGGUUCGGUCCCCAGCUCCGAAAAAAAGAAAAAAAGAAAGAAAAAAAGAAAAAAAAUCUUACAGAGAUGUCUCAAGAUGAGCUUUUAAGCGUGGGCAGUGGUCGUUGUAAUUACAGGUGCAGAAUAUAUCUUGAGAAUUUUGUUAUUAUUUGUAAUUGAUCCACUAGAGGUGUUUUUCCUCAAAUGAUAAUUAAUUAUGGGUCUGUCACUAUUGAGCUAAUGAUGCGUGAUUGCUUUAUUAAUGAUUGAUGACCUUGGUGGAUAAUAGGAUUCCACACUGUUAGCUGUGUCUGACGAACUCCUUAGAGAAGUUUCUAACCUGGGAGUGUGCGAUUCUAUGCAAAGACACUGGGAAGAAAUGGAGGUAGUCCAUUUGUCUAACAACACUGUAGUGGAUGAGAGAAAGGUUUCCUAAUUUUGAAGCAGAACAAGAAGGCAAAUAUGAAGGUGACUGAGUGAUGAGCUACUGAGCUAUGUGAAGUGCUUUGAAAGAUACCUACAGCCCGAGUAUACAUACAUACAUACAUACAUAUAUAUAUAUAUAUGUACACACACACACACACACACACACACACGGUGUAUAAUUUUAAAGAGAUUUGUUUGGUUUUUUUCUUGGAGACAGGGUUUCUCUAUGAAGCUCUGGCUAUCCUAGAACUCACUCUGUAGACCAGGCUGGCCUUGAACUCACAGAGCUCUGUCUGCCUCUGCCUCCCAAGAUUAAAGGUGUUCUCCACCAUGCUUGGCUAAAAAGAUUUCUUUUUUGAGACAGGGUCUCAGGUACUGCAGACUUGUCUCAAACUUGCUUGUGGUUCAAGAUGAACUUGAACUUCUAAUCCCUGGACUCUCAACUUCUACCCAAGCGCUGGGAUUAUAGCUGUUCAGCAUUGAUCUUAGUUUUAUUGAAAUUACUUUACUUCAAUUACUAUUAUUUACUGCUAUUAUUAUUAUAAACACAGGGUCUCACCAUAUAAUCCUGGAUGGCUUAAACUCUCCACAUAGCCCAGGCUAGCCUCCAACUCAUAGAGGUCUGCCUGGCUCUGCCUCCAGUACCGGGAUCAAAGGCAUGUGCCACCAUGCCCAGCCAAGAAAACAGUUUUUAACUCUAAGAUUGAAGUAGAGUAUUUUUAUAUUCCUCUUCCGAAGGAAGAAAAAUAGAUAAGAAAUGCAGAUGGUCAAUUAACUUGUUCAUCUAACUUCAUUCACAUCAUAAAGAAUGCAAAUGAACAGAAAACUAUAACAGACUUAUAUGGUUUAUAUGCUAAGAAGGGCAUCAAAAUUGAUUAAAAAUUUCCAGUGGUAAAACUGGAUGCUUAAUCAAGGAAUGUUCUCACCUGUUUCUUAUUUUUUUGUAAUUUUAAAUUUAUUUUUGACACAUCAUCUUUUAAUCUCUGGUACUUUCAUUCAAUAUAUACAUAUAUUUUAUACACGAUAUAUACAUAUGAUAUAUACAUAAACAAUAUGUCUCUAUGAGAUCUAUCACCCUUCAAUCACCCCAGUUCCUCUUCUUCUCCCUUCUCCCCUUCAUACCUCUUUCUUUCUUUCUUUCUUUCUUUCUUUCUUUCUUUCUUUCUUUCUUUCCUUCUUUCCUUCUUUCCUUCUUUCCUUCUUUCUUUUUUCCUUUCUUUCUUUCUUUCUUUCUUUCUUUCUUUCUUUCUUUCUUUCUUUCUUAUAUCCACUGAAUCUAAAUUGUACUGUCUUUUGGAAUACUGACUGGUAUUGUUUGCUUGGUCUUGUCUAGGUGACCAUAGCUGCACUGAGUUCAUGAAUGCAGUAGCUAUGCCAUGACCUGAAGACAGUACUUCACAGAGCUCCUCCUCAUCCUCCAUUCUUACAACCGUUUUGCUUCUCUUCUACAACAUUCCAUGAGCUUGGAUAGGGAUGUGUGCUGAUAUAAGGUCCCAUUUAAUGCUGAGUACUCAAUGGCCACUUAUUUUCAUCACUGGUCUGCCAUGAUAGUAACUGUUGCCCACUGCAGAGAGAUGCUUCUCUGGAUAAGGUUGAAUAGCAUUAAUCUACAAUAUAAGCAUAUGUAUUUAAAAAGCAAUUUGAAGACAUUUCCAUUUAACAAAAUGACAGUGGUAGAUUCCUUUGCACCUAUGAUGCUCUAACCAUGGGUCUUUGACCAGGUUUACAGUAUCAGGCAUGAAUUCCUUCCUUUAGAGCAGACCUUAAAUCUAAUGCAAAUGCAGUUGGUGACACCCAUAUCUGUUGUGCCACCAUUGCAUCAGUGGGCACAUCUUGGUAUUGUAGCAUGCACAGUUCACCACUGGGUAAUACCAAUGAUUCGUUUUAUUUUCCAGUGGACUGAGUAGCACCUUCCUACACUAUGACAGCUAGACAGCAGAGAGAAAGUUUUCAGGUCAGUUCCAGUUUGAUUUCUUUAUGUCCCACAAGAAAAGUAUGCGAUAUCGUCAACAAUAGGGUCUGACCAUCUGGUUUUGAUGGGCAACCAAGAGUAAUAACAAUAGCCUGUGUUGUUUUGGGGUCGUCUAGAACCUCCCUAGCCAAUAACUCAUAGAGUUGUCACACAUCUAAGCAAAACAGAAUAAUUAUAUUUGAAGCUAAACUAUAAUGGAGAUGUCAGAAGAAAACCUAAAUUGACUGAGGAGAAUUAAGUUCAUGUUUAUAAUUUUUGCAGCUUGGCCUUUCAAUAAUGACUGAAACCAAGCUUAAUUUAAAAUUGUUAUUGCAACUUGUAGUUUGUGAAACUAUUUACAGAAAUAUAUAAUAAGAAAUAAAAUAAAUGUAAUCGCAUAGGUCAAGGUUAGAUAAAAAGUGUUACUUUUGAUUUAAUUGGAAACAUGUUUACUGCCUCUUAUAGAUAAUUCUUUUCUUAAAGAUUUAUUAUUUUUUACAUAUGUGAGUACACUGUAGCUGUCUUCAAACAUUCCAGAAGACCAUUACAGAUGAUCGUGAGCCACCAUGUAGUUGCUGGGAAUUGAACUCAGGACCUCUGGAAGAGCAGUCAGUGCUCUUAACCACUGUGCCAUCUCUCCAGCCCCUAGAUAAUUCUUUAUCACUAUAUAAACACUUUCAUUUUCUCUUUUUGCCACAACCAACUUAUAUUCCAUUACAUGAAAGAUCUAACUAGUUUCCAAGGACAGAUAUUAGGUUGCUCCUGAUAAUCAUCUCAGUAGUUAAUAACUUUGUGACAGUCAUUUUACUAUGUAUCCAUAGAGGUAGAACUUCCAGCUGAAAAAAUAACCACACCAAAAUUCCCUCCAUGAAGCCUUCUAUAAUUUAAUCUUUUUUCCAUUUUUGCGUCUGCACUAGGCACAUACACAUAUGUUUGCAUGUGUGUGGGCGCAUAUGUGUGGAUGCAUGUGGAAACUAGAGGCUAACGAGGAAUCAUCCUCCACUGCUUUUUCAUUGUACUCAUUGAACUAUAGUCUUUAAACCAAGCUAGAACUCUCAGAUAGGCUACUCUUGCUAGCCAUCUUGUUCUGGAAAUUCCCCUGCUUCAACUUCUGGGAUCUAGAAUUACAGGUGGGUCACCCUGCCAACUUGGCAUUUACCUGAGUUAUGGGGAUCUAAAUUCUGGUUUUCAUGUUUGCACAUCUUAACCACCAAGCCAGCUCUCCAGCCUUGGUUGACGGAAAUUAUAUUUCCAACAGGAAUAUGUAAACAUGAUUGUUUUCUACUUGGUGUUACCAAGUUUUCAGAUUCCUUUUUUGCAAAUUGUUGAAGAAAACCAGAGUCUCACCUUCUCAUUGUUUUUCUCAUAUGAUUCUCUGCUCUAUUAACCUUUUUUUUCCAAUUUCAAAAGGCUUUUUUUUUAAUACAAGGAAGGUAAAUUUUUGCUUGCUAAUUAAAAGUUGCAAAACAAUUCAUAUUUCACCGUUGGACUUUCCACUUGCUUGUGGUGACUUUUGCCACAGGGAAAUUAUUCUCUCUCUCUCUCUCUCUCUCUCUCUCUCUCUCUCUCCUGUAUCCCUCCCUCCCUCCCUUCCCCACCCCCCUGGGUGGGGUGUUCAAGACAUGGUUUCUUUGUUCUGGCUCUCCUGGAACCCACUUUGUACACCAGGCUUGCCUCAAAUUCACAGAAAUCCUUCUGCCUCUGCCUCCUGAGUGCUGGGACUAAUGGUGUGUGGCACCCCCACCCCGCUGAGGUAGAUUUUUCUUACAUAGUUGAAUUUAACAAAAUUUUCCUGACUCAAGGUUAGAAAAAAAAAUCAUAUUGCAGUCCAUUAUGGGGGUAUGCUAUUUUUCUAGACUACAGUAUCUAUAGUUUUCAAUAUCUACGUUAACUUUUUUUGGCUGUUUUGAAUUUUAAAAUACUGUCUGUAUGUGCACGUGUGCACAUGCUGUGUGUAAGUCAGAGAAUAUGUGGGAGUUGGUUCUGUUUUUCCACUUUGUGGGAUCUGGGGAUUGAGCUCAGGUCAUCAGGCUCGGUGGCAAGCUCCUAUACUCCCUGAACCAUCUUGCCACCUGUGUUUGAAAUCUGUCUUGGUUAAGAAAGGUUUAAUCCCUGUCUUAAUCACUAGGCUACACUGAUCUGUGUUGCAACCUUCCUCCUUUCCCUUCCCACUGUUCCCCCAUCCCAUCCUUGAUUCCUUCUUAUCCCCAUCUCAGUCUGUAUUUUCCUUUUCUCCACUCUGCCUUGCAGUAGGGCCUCGGUAGAGAGUCCCUCUCAAACAGUCUCCCUGCUUCAGCCUCCCCAGUGCUGGGAUGGCAGGAUGUUUUGCCAUGCCCAGCUAUGGGGGUUUUGUUUGCUUGUUUGUUUUGUUCUUUUUGGUUUGGGGUGUUUUUGUUUUGUUUUGAUCUCAUAUUUCUCUGGAACUUUGAUCUCAUAUUUGUCUGAACUUUAUUUUUCUUUUCUAUUUCUAAACAUGUAUAUUUUUACGUAUCUCAAUUCUUAAUGAUGUUCCCAUGCGGCACCUGUCUUUAGGCCCCUCUGAGGUGACUGCAGGGUUUAACUUUUUAUUUUGUGGCUGAUUUUUUCCCCUGUUAACAAAGUUUGUUCUAGUUGCUUUCCUCUGUCACGUGUUUAGAAGAUUAUAAGGAAUGAAAAGAUUAUAAGGAAUGUGUUUGCAAUUAUGUGAAAAUUUUAUUCACAUCAGAGCUAACUCUGCAAAAGCUGAAACCUCAUGGAAAAGGCACAUCUAUUUCAAAUGAAAUUCUUCAGUCCAAGAGAAGAGUCCACAGAGUCAGACCAGCAUACACACGUGCGCGCGCACAGAGAGAGAGAGAGAGAGAGAGAGACAGAGACAGAGACAGAGACAGAGACAGAGACAGAGAGACAGACAGGGAGAGAGAGAGAAAGAGAAAGAGACAGAUAGAGAGACAGAGACAGAGAGACAGACAGAAAGACACACACACAGAGAGAGACAGACAGAGAGACAGAGACAGAGAGACAGAGAGAGACAGAGAGACAGAGACAGAGAGACAGAGAGAGACAGAGAGACAGAGACAGAGAGACAGAGAGAGACAGAGAGACAGAGACAGAGAGACAGAGAGAGACAGAGAGACAGAGACAGAGAGACAGAGAGAGACAGACAGACAGACACACAUGCACACACACACACAGAGACAGAGAGACAGAGACAGAGAGACAGAGAGACGGAGCAUGCACACACACACACGUGAUGUGUUAUAUAUUUUGAAAUGAAAGAUAGAUCUACUGGACAAUGAGUUGGUAGAAGAAAGUAUUUUACAUCCACCUUGGAAUCUGCAGUGUGUUUUGCUGGUGAGUUGAUUUUCAUUAAUUGAUUAUUCUCUGUGUGUGUACGUGCUCAUGCAGGUGGAGGUCAAAGAUCAAUGUUGGCUGUCUUCAGGUGCUGUCCAUCUUGUUAUUUGAGAGAGAGCCUCUAUUUGGCCUGGAACUAGCUGAUUAGGCUAGUGGCCUGGUCACUGAGCCUCAAGAAUCCAUUAGCUUCUACCACCUUUCCUCUGAGAUUCAAAGUUCCAAUCCAUUGCGCCUAAGUUUUUAUAUGUGGGCUCUGGGGAUUGAACUCCGGUCCUUAUGCUUGUGUAGCAGGAACUGAGCUAUGUCCCCAUCCCUGAGAUUGAUUUUAAAUUGUACUAGUUGGGCUAGAAGAUGUACAUCUAUAAUCCUAGCACUUGGGAGACUCAGGAAGGAGGAACUUGAGUGUAAGACAAGCCUGGACUACAUAGCAAAACCUUGUCUCAAAAAGCUAGAAAUAUCACAUUUAUUGUAAGGAGGCUCUGUCACUGGCGAAGUGUUUUAAUAGGAAACAGCAGCAGUUAGUUUCAUAAUACUUGGAAUUGCAAGAUUGUAAUGGGAUAAUCACAUGCAAUGUUUGUGUGUCAAAAAGAGGAGGGGCAGAGGUCUGCUCCAUUUCCCUGCCUCCAUGGGGUAUGCACAGAUUAUCCCUGAUUUAGCUUAACCUGGAAGCAUAUACAAUUAAGAAUAUGAGAUUGAAUAGUUCAUAGACUGUUGAAUCCUGCAAAUCAGUUGGAGCAUUGGACUCAUAGACUUCUUUUUGCUUUCCGACUGCUUAUGCACAGUUCCUGAUUUUCUAUCCUUACAUAAAGUGUGUUGGGGGAGCACAAGAUGGUUCUUAUUCAUAUAAGCACAGAAGAGGCGGACCACCGGUCACUCAGAAAACAAAAUUCAGGAGCAGGAAUGUUCCCCCUCUUAGCAUUAUAAAGGGCUCAGACUUAGGUCAGCUCUCCCUUCCUCCUGGGAUGAUAUUACCACUAGCAUCCUGCCAGAUUUAAUGAAGGUUUCUUCCACUUGUAUUAUGUUGAAUAGAAUGAUGAUUGUUUGGAAGGGGGUGUGGCAGGAACUGUGUAGCCCAGGAUAGCCUUGGAUUUGCAAUCCUUCUCCCUUAGCCUAUAAGCAGGUGCCACCAUGCCUGGCUAAAUGUAGACAUUUGUGGGACUUUAAUAAAGAUUGACACAUAAGAAAUGACCAUGUCCUUGAAGUAAUUUUGUUAUUCCCAGACUGUGUAGUAGAACUUAGAUGUCUUUUACAUUUGAAAUAGAAAUAAAUAGAAAGUGCUCUCUAAAUCAUGCUUAGAUUCUCUUUCUUCUUGCAAAUAUGCUCUUGAAAUUAAAGCAAGUAUCUCAAAGGUAUAAAUCCACCAUCUUCAGGAGACACAAUAUGACCACCUAUUGGGGAGAUCUUUAUUAAUUUUACUUGUGAGUAGUUUUUGCCUGUGUACACAUGUAACUGAUGAAGUUGAAGUUAAUUUUUAACAUUCGCCUAGUAAAUGUAUGCUGUUUUAAUAAUAAAGUAUAACUUUUUACUUUUUUGUAAAGAGGAGAAAAAACAUAACUAAGAAAAUACACAUAUUUUAUCUAAAGAAAAUUCAUGCCAGGGCUGGAGAGAUGGCUUAGUGGACUUUAAGCCCUUGCAGAGGACCCUAGGUGGGUUCCCAGCACUCACAUCAGACAGCUCACAACUACCGUAACUCUAGCUCCAAGGGAUAUAAUAUCCUCUUCUGGCUUCAUUAAGCAUCUAUAUACACAUGCACAUAAACACAGAUAAACACACACACACACACACACACACACACACACACACACACACGAACUAAGAAUAAUAAAUCUUGGUGUUGGGUAUUUAGCUCAGUGGUAGAGCUUGCCUAGCAAACACAAGGCCCUGAGUUCGGUCCCCAGCUCCAAAAAAAAGAAAAAAACAAACAAACAAACAAACAAAAAAAUAAUAAAUCUUUUUUAAAAAGGAAGCUAAUUCAAUAUUUACUUGUGUCAAAUGCUUUUCUGGGAAGGAAGAAAUGGGUGAAUUAAAACUGGGACUAGAAGGUGGGAUGAUUUAGAUGUUUAUUCCUUGGAAAUGUUCUGCUAAUACAUUAAAAAAAAUGCAUUGUGUUGGGCUUGCCUGUACCACUGGGAAACAAUAGAGGGUCCCGUGACCAAUGGAUGGCCAUUGUUAGUGAAUGAAGACACUGCAGUAUCAGUAAGGCAGUGGCAGUGAGGCAGCUUUGAACGUGUUGACAUGGAGCUCAUGAUGAACAAAAGUGGACCAAGUGAACACUUCCCGGCAAAGCAGCAAAGGCGCCAAUUAAAGCUAUUUUUUUUUUUAAAAUAAGUGUCAAUGCCCAUGGUAUGGCUUUCAUCGCUUGCUGAUUUUAUUGCUGGAGCAGUGUGACUCUCUGUUUGAUUCCUUUUUAGUGGUUCCCCAAAAACUGCAUGUGAGAAAUGAGGAUUGAAAAGCCUUUGAAAUAAAAUAGGAUUCACAUGAGAUCAAAGUACCCUGAGACUAUCAUGUAGAAGGAUGCAAUGGUUAAUUUAAACUCCGCCAUGUAUUUAUUGUACAUGUUUUAAGGCUUAAAUUUUAUUUUUAUGUAAGGUGUGUGUUCCUGAACAUGUGGUCAUUGCAUGUGCAGCAGCCCACAGAGGUCAGAAGAGGCAUCCUUUUCCCUGGUAUCGAAGUGCAGGCUCCUUUUCCCUGCAAUUGGAAUGUUGUGAGCUAUUGUGAGCUACCCCACAGGUAUUAGGAACUGAAUCCAGCCCUCUGCAAGCCAUCUCUUCAGCUGCCUGUGUUAUUGUCUUUGGUGGAUUUAUCAAGUCUUUUACAUUUAAUGAACUAGAACUUGGUUCCUAUUUUUGUAGUGAAGUGGUUUGUUUGGGUAAUGAGUUUAAUCUCCUCUUACUUGUAAUACUUAAGCCUAUAUAUCAACUGUCAGAGAUGAUUCGGGUCAUAGAAUUUCAAAAAGAGAAAGACUGUGAACUGUCAGCAUAGGCAAGUUUCCUGAAAGACUAAAAUUAGUUCCUUCUCUCCUUCUGUAUGCUGCCGUAUAUAAUUGGCCAGGAACCAGAGAACUAGAUUAUGGUGCGAGAAUAAAGGGCAGGAAUGAGGGGAGGGGCUGAGAAAUUGUCAUAACCUUUGGGAAAUGCUUUACCUGACAUUGGUGCCACUUCCGAGGAUGCCUUGUCUAUCUUCCCCUCAUUCUUUUACUAUUUCUCUGAAAUUUUCUUUUUUCUGAGCUGAUGGCCAACGAGGGUAUAGACACAGAGGGAGACAGAGAGGCAGAGGGAAAGGCUCAGCAUAGUCUGAGGAGCAGUUCAGAGGGCUCGUCCCGGCACCCAAAUCUGAGAAGGGGCCUUGUGGGUGAGCACUUGGCUAGGAAGGUGGCCUGAAAAUGUUGUUCAUGUCAGGUGUGAAGCUGAACUAAUACCGAGUCCUGUACAGUACAAGGAAAGGCCAGAGUGCCUGUUGGCAGUUGGGGCAGAAUUAAGGGAAGCCAUCUCAAGUGGUUCUGAGAUCUUAGACAGGCUCCAUGGCUGGCUGCUCCUGGGGACCUCGGAUUCUCCUGUUUUAUGUCUCAGAUCUCAUCCCUCCACAUGUAACUAGCAAUAUAAUGGUGGGCUCGCACCCCUCACUGUUUGUGUCUAGGCACAGUCUCCUCUUUUGAGAAGAGCAUGUCUCCUGACUAGAGCCCACUCUCCUGCAUUUUUUCCUUAUUCCCGCUUCAAACAAACCUGGGGUCCAAGGUUGUGUUGCUUAUUUCCUUUCAGCUUGAUACAAGCUAGAGUUAUUUGGGAAGAGAGACUCUCAACAGAGAAGACGCCCCCACCAGAUUGACCUUGAGACAUUGUCCUGGUUGAAGACUGGUUUUGGAGGUCCAGCUCAAUAUGGGUGGUGCCACCUUUAGGCAGGGAGUCCUGGGUGCUAUAAGAAAGCAGGCUGAGUAAGUAAGCCAUGAGGAACCAGCCAGUAAGCAGCACUCCUCCAUAACUUCUGGAUUAGCUCCUGCCUCUAUGUUCUUGCCCUAUUUGAGUUCCUUCCGUGACUUCCCUCCAUGACAGGCUGUGGUAAAAUGUAUGAGCUUUAAAUAAACCCUUCCCUCCUGAAGUUACUUUCGGUCAUAGUCUUUUUUCACAGCGAUAGAAACCAUAUGUCAAAGGUACACUCUGAACUCAAGAAAUUUCCUGACUGUCUGUGCUGGCUUCCACAGCAAACGUUCGCUUGGAUCAGUACACUUGGGCUGGCUUUUACAGGCACAUACAUUCUCUACCGUUCUAUGUUAAUGAUGAGACCCUGGAGUCCAUCUUCUUUACCUGAGUUUUCUAGCAUUUACUAUUUCCUCAGGGACAUGAGCAAAUGGAGAGGCUCAAAAAGCCCUUGGAAUCCUACCUCUGACUAGCAUUUUGCAGCUGAGUGAUUAAUAGUUCUCUAAAGUCUUUUGAUGUAAUUAAGGCUGAAGAGUUAUGAUUGCUUGAUGCAGUCUGCAUUUCCCCCUGACCCUCUAUUAACAAAUACCAUUUCUACUGACCACGUGAUGCUAAAACACCUCCUUGCUCCUUCCAGGAAAGCAUGAGGGUGGGAGAUAGAGGUUGGGACUUACUUAACACACUUCUCUGUUUAACUCUCGAUUUUAGAUUUUUCUUCCUUUAGGGUAACUUUUCUUUACUUUCUGUAAUAAGCACAUGAUAUUACUAAUACUGUAACAAAUCAGGAAGAUACACUUUGCCCCAAGUUGGCCAAAAAUGAAAAUGCAUAUACAAAUGAUAGCUGAACAUAAACAGAAUAUAAUAUAUACAAGUGGUGUGUAGGAGUGGGUGGAGGUGCGGGUUCUUGUCUGUGUACACACAGGUGCAGAUGCAUGUGGGUGCCUAUGCACAUACAGACCAGAGGUGCCUUCCUCCAUCAUGCUCUGCCCCCUUUCUUCCUUCCUUCAUUCCACCCCCCACCCCCUUAUUAUUGAGACAGGGUCUCACCAUAUAACUCUGACUGGCAUGGAACUUGCUACAUAGACCAGGCUGCCCUCAAAUGCAUAGAGAUCUGCCUGCCUCUGUCUUCCUAAUGCCAGGAUCAAAAGUAUGUACGUACCACCAUGGCCAGCUCCCACUUUGUAACACACACACACACACACACACACACACACACACACACACACACACACAUUCAAUGCUAGGGUCUUUAUACCCCUCCCAGGUUUCUAAGUGGGUGCUGAGGCUCUGAAUUCAGGUCCUCACAGUUGUCUUGCAAGCACUUUACAGGGUGAGCCAUCUUCCCAUUCCAGAAUAUCAUUUAAAAAUAAGGUUUCACAGCCUUAAAGCCGCGGUGAUGGUGAAAGCCUCAGAUGUUUCUGUAGUAUUUUACUGAUGGCUGUUUUCUGCAGGUAACAUUGGGGGUGGCUUGAGGUCAGCUCUGCCAUUUGAAGAGUCACAGAGAGUAAGGUGUUGACCUCCUCUUAGCGUCUACUUGAUCUUAAUCCUGGUUUCACAGAGUCAUCGUUAGGAUCUGUUGAAUAAUGUCUGUGAUAUGUUCUCAGGGCUGGAUUAGGGGAAGUGUUUCGUAGCAUUACUUAUUGUCUGACUUAAUUUCUUGUGAAAAAGCAAGGCAUGUGGGAUUAGCAUCACUUCCCCAAAGGGGACAAUCACGCUCAGAGAUGAAGUGAAGUGACAACUGACUCCUGUAGUAUUUCUGCCAGGACUGGAAGAGACAAUCAGUGAUCUCCCUGGGAUCUUUCUGAAAAGGUGGGGCAAACCCAAACCUGAAAUGCUAGUUGAACCACUCUGGUGGGGUCAACUGACCCCAUGUGGUCCGGUAUAGGCCCAGGCGCAGCCAAUGGCUAGAAGCACAGGGGAUGAGCACAGGGAGGGCUCAAGUCCUUCUUCCUGCUGCUUUAGUUUUGAUGCUAGGUUGGAGGAAGAGAAUACAUUGGUAAUGGUUUCGCUAAACUUUCUCAUUUCCAAAUUAAAAGUUGUCUCCUCCACAUUUCUGGGAGCAUGCAGCCCAGAAAAGCCACUUUGAAAGCACAGCUUUGUUAGUGGCUGUGGUUCUGUGCUUUUGAGAAAAGGCACAGAAGCCUUCCAACCGUGGGGCGCCGGCUGGCCCUUGCCCUCCUUGUUCCGGAGAUGUGUUGACACCUCUCAUCAGCUUGUGACAAAGAUGUACUCUGCCUCUCUACUCUGCAAUGACAUCUCCCUCCCCAGCAUUAAAGAUCCUUCCUCCCACCACCUCCCACCAUCUCUUUAUCAUUUUGUUUCUUCUAACAAUCCACACCUGCCCCCCCACCCCCCCAGCCAUUUUUAAACCAACCGAUUGCUUUUAAAAAUGAACCAAAGUGUUAAAAUGUUGGAGCUGGGCGCAGACUCCCAUCCUCAUUCUAUAAUUGUGGUUUUUUUUGUGUUCAGCUUUGAGAGAGGUAACUGACGAGAUGGAAGUUUCCCAGUCACUACUGUAAAGGGCACAAUUCACUUUAUAAAAGAAAUGUUUAUUCGCAUAUGGGCUCGUUAGUGACAUGUUUGACUUUGAUCUGUGAAAUGUUAGGAGUCAGUUGGCCCGAAAACCUCUGAAGUCACAUUGUUGAGCAGACAAAUUAAAAUGCAAACAUUUUGAUGCUGCAUCCCAAAGUUCCCAGUUUUCACAGUUACUUGGCAGACUUCAAAGUUUAUUGACUACGGUAGUUUGGAAAACCAACAUGAAAAGAGUUAUAAAAUCAUAUCUAUAGGUCAUGAUGAAAACAGAUUAAUUCAAAAGAAAAUAAUAAAUCGGGGUAGAAGAUUUAGAGAUUGAACUGUAAAUACUUCACAUAGGCACUAUAAUCCUUAAGAAAUAUAUGAUGUUUUUCCUUUUAGGGAAAGGUCAUCAUAUAGCCCAGGCUACCCUCCAACUCAUUCUGUUGUUGAGAAUGACCUCGAUUGAUUUCUAACCCUCCUGCCUCCACCUCCCAAGUGCAGGGUAACAGGAGUACAUCACUGAUCCUGGUUUAUGUCAUUCUGGGGACUAAAGACAGGAUCUCCGGUAUGAAAGGCAAGCUCUAUGUCUGUCGAACCACAUCCCCAGCCCUGUUUAUGAAUCUGUUUUUACUGAAUUUUACUGUAUUUUAUUACUUGUAAGAGUUUUAGACAGCUAUCUUACAGAACAUCUACAAGAAUGCCAGAGAGCCGAAGCUCUCCACUUUGCAUAUGUCCUGAGGCGUUUUGCAAAUGGUACUUUUUUUGUUCUUCCAAAAUCAUAUUUUGGAUCAAUGUGGUGGCACAUGCCUUUAACUCCAGCCUUCAGGAAGCUGAGGCAGGUGGCUCUCUGUGAAUUAGAGGCCAGUUUGGUUUGAAUAGUGAGUUUCAGGCUAGCCAGGGUUACACUAUUUCUAAAAGAAACAAAUUCACCAUCCAAGUAGGGACUAAGUAUCAAGGGUCAACAGUGCUCUUCUACUUGUCCAGAGGACCUAAGCUUGGCUCUCAGCACCCAAGUCAGAUAACAGCAAUAGCCCAACUCCAGUUCCAGAGAAUCUGAUGCCCUCCUCGACCGUCACACAUCAAAGGCAGGCAUGCACCUACACACAGAUAAAAGCUAGAUUAAGGUGAAAUUUUAAAUAUUUCAAGGGGGCCGUUAGGAUGAUGGCUCAGUAGUUAAGGUGCCUGCUGCCAAGGCUGAUGACAAGGCUCAAUCCCCAAAGCCCCAUGGUAGAAGGAAAGAAACAGCUCCUCUAAGCAGUCCUUGGACUUCCACAUGCGUGUUGUGACUUGCCGGUGUCUCCCUCAAAUAAAUGUAAAAAGUUAAAAAACAUGUCAUGCCAAUGACUCGAAGUCUUCUUUAAGAGAGGGUUUUGGGGCUGGAGAGAUGAUUCCAUGGUUAACAGCCCUGGCUGUUCUUUCUUUCAGGACCUGGGUUGGAUUUUCAGCACCCACCCAACAGUUCACAACUGUCUGUAACUCCAGUCCUAGGGGACCCAGUGUCCUCUUCUGUUCUCUAUGAGGACCAACCACACAAACAAUAUACUCUCUCUCUCUCUCUCUCUCUCUCUCUCUCUCUCUCUCUCUCUCUCUCUCAGAGGGGUUUACAAAAAUGUAAUAUGUAAUGACAGACUGUUCAUAUCUUGCACUCUGGAAUUCUAACUCAGCUUAAAGGGGAAAAGGAAAUUGAUCUUGAGACCUAAACCAAGGCACUUCUAAGGGAACUGAGCUCACAUUCUCAAGCACCACAAUUAGCACCUGCAAGAUCGGCAACUACAGCUUUAUUAUUUUACUCAAAGCUCCUGUGAUCAGUUUCCCUAUCGAGUGUUUUAUUUGUUUGUUUUGAGACACAGUCUUCUAUUAUCUAAGUAUCAUCAAACUUUGCCUUUUCUUCAAGUGUGGGGACUACAGACAUACAGUUUAUGCUGUGCUGGUGACCAAACUCAUGCUUUGUGCAUCCUAGACAGACACUCUACCAGCUGAGGUACCAUCUCAUCUCUCCCAUCAGGAGCAUGUGCGUGCAGGCACACAUGUGACUGGAUGCUAUAGUGCACACAUACAGGUCAGAGGACAAGUUUUGGAAGUUGGUUCUCUCCUAUCAUGGGUUGGGGAUCAAACUCAGAUUUUGAGGCUUUCAGGGCAAGCAGUUUUUACCUGCUGAACUAUCUCUCUAGCCCUUCUUACCACGUUUCUAAUUCCUAGCAUGAAAUCCAUACAUAGAGUUUGGAACCUGAGUGAAGCAGAUGUGAAUGAUCCGACCCAGCCCCCCACAGUUCUAGCAGUUUGAAUUCGACUUCUUUCUUUUUUUUUUUUUGGUUCUUUUUUUCGGAGCUGGGGACCGAACCCAGGGCCUUGCGCUUCCUAGGUAAGCGCUCUACCACUGAGCUAAAUCCCCAGCCCUCGACUUCUUUCUUAAGAGGUGGCCUGUGCUCAACUCUCUUGGUUAUGGACGGACCAAUGACAGGGCAGAAAGAAGAUCCUAUGGUUUGUAAAGUGGAAGUCAUAGCAGUCGAUGUGAUUUCUACUGGGAAUUGCCAGGGCUCCUGGAGAUACCCUAAGGAAGGCUCCAUAGAUGUCCCAGUAGCUCACCCAUCCUAGCCCAACCUGUUUUAGUUUUUUUUUUUUCCCUCACUCCCAACCUCCAGACAUGAGGCAGACAGCCUUGAAAUUAUUCCACCCUCCAGUCUUUGAGCCAGCCCCAGCUGAGGCUGUGUGGAGGGCAGUACCACCUGUCUCCAUGGAGCCCGGCCCAGAUCGCAAAGUACUUGGGAAAAUAAGAACGAUGAGUGUAGCCUUAAUAUACAUGAAUUCUGAGGGCAGGGAUUCAACCGCGUACACAUGAAAAAUACCUGCGAAAGAUGUGUCUGUACUGACCUCAGGGAUAUGGGUUGUCAUUAUUCCCCAAAUAAUAAAAUGUAAAUGUAACUACUCUACACAUAGCAGUUACAUAAAGUUUUCUUGCUUGUGUGUGUGUGUGUGUGUGUGUGUGUGUGUGUGUAAUGUGCUUACACAUGUAGAGACCAGGGUUAAUGCUGGCUGUCUUUCUCAAUUGUUCUUUCUUGAGUGACUCUAAUGGAACCUGGAGUUUGCUAAUUUGGCUGGACUGGAAGGUCGCUGAAGCCCAGGGAGCAGAGGAAGUCCUCGGUGAUGUAUAUUGUUGUCAUAGGCACGGCCAUGUGAAGGACCAAAGCCUUAGACCCAUGCGGAUGGCAAAGACUUCUGGUCUGAAAGCCAAGAACUGUUGGCAGGAUGUGCAAAAAGUAGCAACUGCAGCUUCCUCCCCGGGCCCCAUGUUAACAGCUGGAGACUUCUCCCUACGAAGACCUCCUGCAGAGACCAGCUAACUCCACCCUCUUAGUUGUACAUAAUAAAAUCACUGAGCUUCUGGGCUGUUGUGAGUGGUUGGUGCCAUGUUAUGAUCGGCGCACCUGACCCCAGCUUUUCAGUACAUGUGUGUCUGUGUCUCGCCUUUCUUCAUCCCCUCGAUGGCUCUAAUCAGGUUUCCAGCACCAGCCUUCGCUUCAAGGGUUGAGAAGAGAGUCCUAUCCCCCUUUCUCUCUUUGUUGGGAUUAUAGGCAGGUACUGCCAUGCCUGGCUUAACAAAAAUUUUUUAAGAUUUUUAUUCACAUGUAUAAAUGCUUUGUCUGUAUGGGAACGGAUAUGAGGACAUGACCACUCCAAGGUAUGGUUGGAGAGAAGGAUUUUUAGUGUACGUAUGAGGGAGGGUACUGCCAAAGACAUCUGGAAGAGUCCAGACUGAGCUCAGCCACUAGGAGAGAGAGAGAGAGUGGGAGACGGAGAGAGGAAGGGACCAAGAGAGGAGCCAAGAGGGCAAACCAGAACCAGGAGAGGAGAAGGACCAAGAGAACACAUGACCGAAAUGGCGCUUAUACAGGAAAGAGAAGCCGCGGGGAGGGAAGCAAAGCCCGUUGGGUUAAGAAGUUCAGGGUAGGCGUGCUGAGAGGAGCCACAGGUCCUGAGUGAACCUAGACACCAAGCAGACACUUUGCUCUGCUAGUAGGUUCCACAGUUAACCUUUGUCUAGGGUUCCCUUGGGGCCUGAUAGUAUGUAUGCAUAUGUAGCAUGUAUACGCAAAGUCUGGAGGUCAGAAAAGGGCCGGGUGUCUGAUCACCUAGACCGGGAGAAUGACUGUGAGACAUCAGGUGCUUGGGAGCAAACCCAGGUCUCUGUUUAGAGCAUCACAUGCUCUUAUUUCUGAGCCCUUUCUUUAGCCUCCCUCUCCACUUGUAAAAUUGGGGGUCCUAAGCAUUGAGUUCAGGUCUUCAUGCUUUUGUGGCAGUCUACAAACAGAGACAUCUUCCCAGCCCCCUCCAUUACAUUUUCUAAGCAAUCUAGAGAUGAUUUAAAGUCGAUGGGCAAAUGUGUGUAGAUUACAUACAAACACUAUGCUGUCUUAUAUGAAAGACUGGUGCUUGCCACUGAUUCCCCCGUGAAUACUAAGAACUGCAGUGUUGUAUAGUUUACUAGUGGUUUUCUAAUAUCGCUUGAUAACCAUUGUAUUAGAUUCAAAGAAAAGCUUGUUAGAGCAGAAUACUGUCUAUUAUUAUAUGUAGCAGGGCUGGUUUAUCAGCAAUUUACCAAAGUAGAGAUUUGGCUAGUCUUAUUUUCUGAACUAAAGCAGCAGUUAGAGCUAAUGCUAAGUCACCUUGUCUUGGGAAAAGCAGUAGACAUACACGGGAGUGUUGCUUGACCAAGACUCUAACCCAGGCUCCCAACUGACUCCUCCCGUCCUGACUUCAUAAUUGGAGAGUGAAGUAUGGCGAGGGGUGUGACGGUCCUUUUGUCUAUUUCUCAUGAUUCUGUUAGGAACUGGGCCAGAGUGUUGCUAGGUGACUUCAGAAGACUUCCUUCCAUCUCUUGUCUGCUGCUCUUCCUCAUGGGCUCCCUCCUCAGUCAUGGGCUGCUUCUCAGCACUCCUGAGUGAGGCACGCACUUCACAAAGCCUUUCUGACUUCCUUCCCAGAGGGACUCAAAGCCAAGGUGGCCAGAUCUCUAAGAGCAGAGCAGUCUCUGAAUGUCUUUUUUACUGAAUCCUAUUGGACGAAGCAAGUCACGGAACAAGCCAGGAGUGAGAAAAGUGGAUCCGCACCCGCUCUGUGUGGGUGGUAUGUCAUGCAUCCACAGGGUGACAAGAAUUUGAUGGUGGCCUCUUUGGAGACGGACAGGAAGGAUAGUUGGUCAUGAAUAGGAAGAGAAACAUUGUGUAUAUGUUGUUGCUUUUAUAGACAACCUCACAAUGUAGCCAAGGCUGGCCUCAAACUCACAAGCACUCCUGCCUCGGCCUCCUGAAUUCUUAGACUAUAGCUACCAAGCCUGGCAAGAGAAACCAUCUUUUUGUUUCAGAGGUUCUCAAUCUGUCAGUCUUGACCUUGGUUGGGGGCCAGUGGUCCUUUCACAGUGGUAACCCAAGACCAUAACCAAACCAAACCAAACUAAACCAAACCAAACCAAACCCCCACAGAUAUUUGCAUUACAAUUCAUGACAGUAGCAGAGUUACAGUUAGGAAGCAGCAAUGAAAGGAUUUAGCUCAGUGGUAGAGCGCUUGCCUAGCAAGUGCAAGGCCCUGGGUUCGGUCCCCAGCUCCGAAAAAAAAAAAAAAAGAAAGAAAGAAAGAAAGAAAGAAAGAGAGAAAGAAAGAAAAAAAAUGAUUUCAUGGUUAGGGGUCACCACAGCAUGAGGAACUGUAUUAAAGAGGUGCAGCAUUAGGAAAGGUGAGAACAACGGUUUUUCUUUACCUCACCCUGGCCCCCAGCAGGGUCACAAUCCACAAACUGUGCAGCCCAGGGUAGUCUAGAACUCGUCACCCUCCCGUAUCAGCCUCCCAAGUGUUGAGAUUACAGAAGUGUGCCCCUAUGCCUGGCUGAAGAGAGUGGUUCAAACCCUGGGACUGCUUUUAGCUAUGCAGGAUUGGCUUGAGUGAUAGCUGAGGGACUGGCAGUUAAGAACAUGCCAUUGGAUCCUACCGUGCUCUAGAUAAUCUAGAUGAUAUAUGAUCUUAGGAGGCAUGGGAGGAGCAGUUAUACUCAGAUGCUAGUUGGAUGAAUUACCCAUUCGUGUUCUUCUGGGUGGUGGCUAGCCUGUGCUGCCGUUUUGAGCUUUGAACCAGACUGACAUCCUCAGAGGUCAUGACCUUAGCUUCUGCAGUGAGCUGGUUACACCCGACUCUUCCUCAGCUUCACAGGAUAGAAACACAGCACACAGUCCUGUUUUUUUUUUUGUUUUUUUGUUUUUUUUGUUUUGUUUUGUUUGGUUUGGUUUGGUUUGGUUUGGUUUUGUAUUGUUUUUUCUUUCAGUUUUGCUGUCCUUUAUAGGGAGUGAGAAUUUUAGAGUUCUGCCCAAAUCCCGAAGGCUGGUUUAUAUAAAUGUUAUAAAUCUACUAUAAGUGCCUUGAAAUGUAUUAAAAUAGCUUGUUUUUGUUUUUAAAAAUUUUCAACCACGGGGCUGGGGAUUUAGCUCAGUGGUAGAGCACUUGCUUAGCAAGCGCAAGGCCCUGGAUUUGGUCCCCAGCUCCGAAAAAAAAAGAAAAAAAGAAAAAAGAAAAAAAAAAUCUUCAACCACAUGUUCUAACCUUGACACUUCCAGUUCCUUCGGCAGCGUUCUAGAAAACGUCAUUUGAAGGGGACAGUCUUCCAGCUGUUUUGGUGGUUUUUCAGUUGGAGGUGUCUUGCUCAAGAUUCACCAAGUGGCCUGGUACAUUCGAGUCUGUGGGUCUUUGAUGGGUACAGCAUUCAAGCCUUUUCUGGUUAUACCUGCUCCUGGAAUUCCAGCCCCAAGCCCCAGGUUCUGGCAGACUCCUGUGUGCCUGGCUCUAACUAGUUCCACCUGUAUGAAGGAGGACGGAGACCAUCUGAACGAGAUCCCCCGGCUCCUAGAAGAUUUCUUUUUCUGGUACUUGAACGCCACCUGCUCCGUAGACCUUUCCUAUCCUACUGUCAGGAUCGCUCAGAGCCUGUAUUUAACUAAAAUGGCUCCCCAAAUGAGGACAUGGGACAAGCAAUAUACAAGUUCUCUAUGCCAAGAACUAACUGUGGCCAUUAAAAUAUAGGCUGGCCGGUAUUAACUGGCUACCCAUUCUGCUUUUUAAAAAAUCUUCUUUCUUUCUAUAAGUAAUUAUCCAAUCUCCUCCAAAUAUUGCAAACCACAGUGUUCCACCUUUUUUUUUUAAAUACUUGACACUUCUUUCCAUCCCAUUUCUAAUGCAUCUAGGCUGUCAGAACUUCAGCGAUGUGCAAUGUGCAUUCGUCAUCCCACACUUGGAAUACUGAGGCAGAAGGUGAAUGAGUUUGAGGCCAUCCUUGUCUACCGAGAAAAAAAAAAAAACCGUAAUCAAAACAAAACAAAGCACCAUGGUUCACAUAAGUUAAGGGAAGAUAUUCUUUGAGUUGUUGGUUCUUGAGUGAGUCUAGCUAUGUAGCCUGUCACUCAUGCUGACCUUGAAUGGAUAGCCCUGCCCCGCUUCAUAACAGCUGGGAUUAUGGGCCGAGGCAACCACGUCCUGCUUUACAAGUUAAGAAUUAAGACAUGAAUCAAAGCAAUCCCUGAGCAGUCAGCCAAUUCUGAAACCUUGGGAUGGGGAGGGCACACAAGUGGUCACAAAGAAGGACCUGGGCAUCGAAGGCUUUUCUGUAAUCUGUCCCGUCCUCACUGUCCUGCAAAAUUCCUGUCCUCUGCACGACCUUCUGGCAAUAGUGUUCAGUAAGACUAGUCACACACGGUGGGACUGAGAGCAGAGUUGUGGAACUUCUGAAGUAUUAAGAAGAAAAUGAGGAACGGGGGCACACAGCUCAUAUUUUGGUAGCAUGUGUAAAGCCUUAAGACUUGGAUUCAAUCUCCUGGACUUUUUUUUAAAGGAAGAAAAUGAAAUUUUGGGGUACCUAAUCCCCACAUAUAAAAAUAUUGUCCAGAAAUUGACAACCAAGCAAAACUUCAUGCUACCAAAUGAGAUAAAAGUGGGACACUUGUUCACCUAAAUCCUUUCCCAGGAACGCCCCACCUUACAAAAUGCCACUGGCCGGGUUCAAAGUAAUGUUAAAAACAAAAAAAAAAGUAGGGUGUGGUAACUCAUGUCUAUAAUUCCAGCCCUCCGCAUGUGGGAGCUGGAGGCAAGGGGGAAUCAAACGUUUAUAGUCAAUCUCAGCCGCUUAGCAAGUUCAAAAUCAGCCUGGACUACAAGAGACCACGGCAGAAGCAAACCAGGAAAAACGUGUUAUUCUCAAGACACAAAAUUGAACGUCUGUGGAAUAAGAACGCACCGUGAGGCUAAGAUAGGGAUUUUGAAUAAAUCAAUGCAGUCUGGCGGCUUCUGGAACAUACCUUAAGUUAGGUGUUGAGGUAAGAGGAGAAGUGUCAGUGUUCUGACUUUGGAGGAGCCUGGUCUAUGAGACAACAGCUUAAUAGGCUCACAGGAAAUGUGGACAGGUGGCCUCCACACAAUGGAUGCCCAUGAUUACUGCCUGCCUUGUGUUGAGAAGUCACAGGAAUUGUGAUAACGGCGACUUGCGAGAGUGUUGUGCAUGCAGCUAUAAAGUGGGAGAAUGUAGCAGGUCCUGGUGACUUCCCUCACAAGACUCCCACGGGGCAAUGUGUGUGCAGCUUUUGACACCCACUUCCUUUUCUGCAGAAACGCCCUCUCUUCUAAUGUUGCCGACCUAGACACCCUCUCCUUUCUACCAGAGCUAGCUGCUGCGCUGCUGCCUCAACCGCACCCACGUACUUCCUCAAAUCCCUACAGCCCACACUGGAGCCAACUUUGCUGGAUCUGGAUCAGAAGAGGGGUCUCAAAUUGCUCCCGGGGGCGCGCCCUGAAGGGCGUGGUGAGGACGAAGCCCCGCCCAGCGAUCUGAGCUGGCUGCUCCAGCAGAGGCCCACGUGAGCUGUUCCCCUGCUCGCCCUUGGCAGUUCGCAGACGGGUGCAGCGGGGCUGGGGCGAGGGAGUGCCUGGGAACAGUCUGUGUGCUCCUGGCGCUGUGCCUUGCAGCUGGCGGGAGGGUGGGGUCGCCCUGCCCUGCUGGGAGCUGCUGACCGGAAAGCUGAUUGGGGAUGGGAGCCCCUGACUCCCCCCUCCCCCUCCCUCCCCGCUCAGAGUCUGGGGACCUUGAAUGUGAGGCAGAAAGACUAUAUGGAUAGCAUUACUAUUUGGAGCAUGGAAAGACUCAGAGGUUCCUUUCCAGGUUCUUUUCUGUCUGCUCCCUACCCCGGUGACCUUUGCUAAGUCACUUGAUCUAGGGGUUCAGUUUCCCCAAAUUGUCCUGAGGGGCUGAGGCUUGUAAGUAGCCAGGAAGGACACAACAUAUCAUGUCACAUCACAUUCACUCCAUGUCUAGUGAGUAUUUAGGAUGUUCAUCCAUGCCCUCAUCCCGGGGGUCUGGUGCCUAGUGCCAGCACUGUGCCAGUUAGGUGCUGGGGCUCCAGAGUGGGCAGUGAGGCCAGCUUGGUCUCAGCUUCCUCACCCAGCUACAAAUUGGCUUCAAAGGUCAUGAGAAAAGGCGAGGUCUAUGACGUACUUCCUGUAGUCCCUGGCACAAAAUGGGCUCCUAACCCAAGCUACCGGCUUCCGGCUGCACAGAGGUUUGGAGACUAGCCUAGUCUGGAGAAGUGGAAACAGACCUUGCAAGCUGGGUGUGCACAGCGCAGAACAGGGCUCAGUUUCCAGGCUGCUGGCUAGCCAAGAAGGAAUGCAAUUACUCAUUAAGCACACUCCCAUUGAUCCCUGUCUUAGCAAAAGCUUCUCAGCGUUGCUUUCAAAUUUCCAAUCCAACCCCUGUUUUAAAAAAAAACGAAAGAAAGCCCAACGAACGGUUCAUGGACGUUUCCCCCUGAACUCACACUUUCUAGUGAAUAAGAAGGAAACAAGAUUGGUCUACUCAGUGGUGAUUUGUGUAUGGGGAUAACUUGGAGAUGAAAUUACCAGCAUAUAAUGGCAGAGUUGGUAAAACCACAUAGUCUUCAACCGUCACUGUGGCGCUCUGCUCUAAGUCUGGAAAAUAUUCAUACUUUGAGCCUUAGUGGUAAUAUAAAAAUACUGCUGCCCCUGCUGCCACUAGGUGGUCCUCAACAGCUGUUUCUGUUUUGAUGUUGUAGACUCCUGUCCUGACCUUAGUUUCACCUUUUUGCUGUCAGUAGCCACUUGAAGGUCCUGUUGCUACAAGAAUUAAGGGAAAACCCAUUAGCAAUGAGUUAUAACCACACCCCUGACUUCUGCAGAAUGUUGAGUAAAUCAAACUUCUGUUCUUUCUGGAAAAAACCUGCAGCUGAAACUGGGAUCAGGGCUAAAGAAACCCAGCUGGAUUCUGUGUCUGCUUGUCACUGACAGUUUCUGUUUACGAUCUGUUGAUCAUACAACAUAUUUUCUUGAGAAUGGGUCUAGCUUUUCUAAGUCUAACAUGGUGACAUCCCACUGUGGGAUGGCUCACAUCUAAAAUACACAAGGACAGCCAACUGAUCCUGACCCCUUUGCUCAAUGCUGAAGUCAGUGGUCUGUUCACACGUAUUAACAGUUCCCAGAAAACAGUAGAUGUUGGCUAAUAUUAUCUAUAAAUAGUAACUUAAAGAUAACUAACUAAAACAUGGAGAAUUGCAGGGUUCAACACUUUUGGUUAGCCCGGUUUUUUUUUUCUUUAUUUAUUUCAAUCUUUUAAAAAGUUGGUGAGUUGGGGUUGGGGAUUUAGCUCAGCGGUAGAGCGCUUGCCUAGCAAACACAAGGUCCUGGGUUCGGUCCCCAGCUCAAAAAAAAAAAAAAAAAAAAAAGUUGGUGAGUUUAGAUGCUAAUAUUUGUGGUUCUUAAGAUUGAUAUAAAAAUCCCAGUUGUCUGUUUCAGAUCUCAUUUUAGUCAACCAAUUUUUUUUAACGAGUAUAUACUACACUACAUAAGUAUGGCAUUAUUAUCAAUAUUCAUUGAGAAUGUUCUAUGUGUGCACUUAGUGUGUAUGUGUGUGUGUGACAUUUCUAUAGGUAGCUAUACAUUCACAUCAGUGAUGUGUUUAUAUAUUGCUAUAUCUAUAUGUCAUAUCAAUCACUCAGCAUUUAUAGACUUGUCCCCUCUCUCUUCCACCCCUUUCCUGCUUUCUGUAGUAUUGGGGAUUAAACCCAGGACCUUGUUCACACUGUGCUACUGUUCUACCACUGAACCAUACCCCUAGCCCAUUACUGUUUUUAAAAGUUUUUCCUGUAAAGUUAUGCUUACCACUUUGUGCUGGUCUUAAAGCCAGGAACUUCCUUCCUGGGCAAGUACUCUAUUCUUGAGCUAGAAGUCUUGGUAAUUUAUAAUGUUUAAAAAACACAAUUUGCCUUAUUUUCAUUUAUUUAUUAUUAUUUUUUACUUUAAUAGAAAUCUGACAAUGUUUUGGGGAUCUUACAAAAACCAUAAUUUCUUUACUUGAAUAAGACGAUGGAGAGUUUUAAUUUAAAGCAUAGCAACCACUUGAGAUGCUGCUCAUAAAAUUGGCAUCAGAUGAUGACAGUUUUAAAACAAGGGUUUUUAGAUUUCAGAAAGUGAAAUGUAACUUGUGGCUUAUCUUGUGCCUUCAGUAAAUUUGAAAGGACAGGAAGUUACAUUAACAUGAAGAACAUUAAUGGGUAAAAGACAUUAAGUAAGGUUUUGGCUAAGUGAAUCUGACAGCAACUUUCAGCCCCAGGGUUUUAUGUAUGUAAGUGUGGUUGGGUAUCAUUGAUCAGUUUACAAAAUUCAGUCCCUCUGUUCUCUGUCUAGUUCUCCUGAAUUAGUUUGAUUUGGGUAUUGCUUAAUCUGUUUAAGAAGUGAGAAAAAAUUAUGACAGGGUGGAAGGAACUAUCCAAUAACUUCUGAGCCUAGUUACUAUGGAGUCCCACAGGACAGUAAGGCACUGGGGUCACUAGCACACUCUCAACGGAGCUAUGGCCAAUGCAGGCUCAGUACACCAGAAGGAGAAUCACGGCCUUUCCCCGGGCUUCUUCUUUCUGUCCUUUAACUCUUUCUGUGUACAAGCUAGAGAAGGCUGAACACAUCCCAGGGCUGGGAAGACAGAGCAGAGAAGUUGGAGGAGACAGUACAAUCUCCGGUGGCAGAUGCCGAGAAAGGAAAAUAAUCAUGGCCUGUUUAGUGUCAAAGGGAAAGGGGGACUGUGUGACAUUCAGAGGAGAAAAGCUACCGUGACAGAUCUAGGGGAAAUGGGGCUGGUAAGGGAGACAGAGAGUCGGGGUGUUCUAAGGAGAGAACAGAAAGGAAAAGGACACCUGGGAAAAGCGUGCUCAUUCUCUCACCCCUGGGAAGUACAGUGCUGGUUAUUACAGGUGUGUGUGUGUGUGUGUGUGUGUGUGUGUGUGUGGGUGUGUGUGUGUGCACGCGCACACAUAUACUAGCACAUGUUGGGGGGACAGUGCCUCUCAUGCAAGAGGAAGUGGUGAGAGAUGGGGAUAAUGAAAAAGGAAUCGAAGGACUUUGCACAAGCAAUGAGGACCAACUAAUCAAGAGUGUCUUGACAGUCAUACCUCAGCGUACUAGCAUACAGCCAGGGCCAUGAGUCAGAACAGAUAAGCAUUUUAGUGGAAGUUGUCAACUCACAUUUUAGGAUCCACAGAGUGGGCAGGCAGAAAAUCAGCAGAAAUAUAGAAACCCUAAAUGUCCCCAGUAACCAGCUUGCUCUAAGUGUAUUUUGGAGAAUGGCCCACAAAGUAACAAAUGCCCAGGAGAAUACACCUCCUUUUCAAGGGUAUAUGGUAAGUUCACAGUUAGAUCAUAUUCAGACAUAAACAAAUAUAAAUAAUUGAGAUCAUUUAAAUUAUGUUCUCUGGAUGGAGGGGGGUAUCUCCAUGGGCGAAACUGCUUGCCCCGAGACCUGACGGUCUGAGUUCGAUCCUGGGACCGACACGAUGGAAGGAGAAACUGACAAACUGUCCUCUGACUGCCAACACACUGUGGCACAUGCCCAGCUCUGCCCCCACAAAAUCAGUAAUUAAGUAAAUGUAAAAUUGUGUCCUCUGAUCACAAUGGAUCACACUCUAAGUUAAAAAAUGAUGUCUGGACAACUUUAAAAUAUCUGGAAAUUUGCUCAAUGCUGCAGAAUAAUUAAUCAGUUAGAGAAAGGGUUAAAAGAAAUCCAAACUCUUUUGAGUUGGAAUGGGAAUGAAAAUGCGCUCCAUUAAAGUAUGUGGGCCUGAGCCAGAGCGUAGCUCAGAAGAUCACGUACAGCAUUAAAUGCUUAUACUAGAAAAGAUAAAGGUCCAAGAGCAAUGAUCUAAGCCAGUGUUUCUCAGCCUUCCUAAUGCCAGCCUCUAAUAUAGUCCCUCAUGUUAUGGUGACUGCCCCUGUAACCAUAAAUUAUUUCAUUGCUACUUUAUAACUCUAAUUUUGCUACUGUCACAAAUCAUGUUAUAAAUAUCUGUGCUUUGCUAUGGUCUUGGGUGACACUGUGAAAGGGUCACAUGACCACUGAAAGGGGUUGAGACCCAAGGGUUGAGAACCACUAUAAGAAAAUAAAUAGAAGAACAAAUUAAACCCCCCCCCCCAUACCAGCAGGGCAGAAGUAGAAAUCAAAAGUAGGAAAAGUUACCUAAACCAAAAGCUGGUAUUUGAAAAAUAAUAUUCAUUAAAAAGAGGAAGUAGAUGUAAACUUCAGUCGGCAGACUGUACAGGGGUGAACCCUUGGAGUGGACCUGAGGUGGCUGCAGCUGCUCUAACCCUGAAGCUCUACCAUGGAGAUCAAGGUGCUCUGGGGAUGCUGAGGAAACAGAGGCUGCCUAAGCUACAGCUUAAGAGGAAGCAAGGCACAGGGAGCAGAAAGAAGUAAUAUCUUAGCCCAAGUUCUGGGUCAUUCCUGUAGGGAUAAUCUCUGGAGGACUGUGUGGUAGCAUCACCUGUCAAUAAAAAGCUGAUGGCUAUUAGCAAAGGGCAGGAAAGAGAAAGUGGGAGUUCUGGAAGAGAAACUGAAACUCUGGAAAAGAGUUAGAUAAGGGAAGAUUCGCCCUGGACUCUGAGGAAGUCAGAUGUAUGAACUAACCAGCCACGUGGCAGACAUAGAAUAGUAUAAAUAGGUUAAUUGAGUUACAAGCUAGUGGGAAGCAAUACCUACUAUAAGACCAAUGGCAUUUAUUAAUAUUGUCUUCAUAUCAGUAUUCGGGAACUGGGGAGGGCGCAGAAAAUCCCAGAGUCGUUACAAGUCCAUUCUACAUUGUGUAACUUGGCACUUGAAAAGGCAGAAAAAAAAGAAAGUAGAAGCAAAUUUCCUUAUAUAGAUGGUAAGUUAUAAUGACCAUAUAGUAGAAAGCUAUCUGAACACUGUUCAGCAGAAAUCCUGAAACAGGAAGCUGACAGAAAACGAAGGUUAAAUUCAACAUAGGAAGGAUAAUAGAUUUGGAAAAAGACGAUGAUUACCGAACUAAAAAUGUCUGGAGCCUGCCGUGUUGGCUCAUACGAGCCAUCAAACCGUCAUAGCACUCGGAAGGUUGGGACAGUAGAAUUGCCAAUUUGAGACCAGGCCUGGAUAAACAGCAAGACCUUAGAACAAGUUUUUAAAACCCUGAACAACAAAUGGAACAGCCAGAGAGAAGUUUAGAGGUUGGAAAAAAUUGCAGAACAGAAUUUAAGAUUAUUAAGGGUUGGCUCUGUUGCUAUACCAAAUGAACAGCAGCAAACUGUGAAAUGGGAGACAUCACUAUAGUCCCCACAGACAUUAAAACAACGAGAGAAUAUUAUUAGCAAUUUUUUAAAUGUCAGUAAAGUUGACAACUUAGAUCAAAAGGACACAAUUUCUUAGAAGAACUUAAGGAAGACUCAGUAAUUUAAAACCCUUUCCCAAGGAAAAGUGUGCUGACUUUCAGUAGCCAAAACCUGAACACAGUAGCCAACACCCGAACAGCACUAUGAAUAUUUAAGAAGUCAUACCAGUGAUACACAUACUUUCCCAGAAAUAGGAAACAAGAGAACCCUUACCAUCCAUAUUUACAAGGUUACUGUGGAUUCCAUAUCCAUGGAUUCAACUAGGCGGAAAAAACAUCUGUACUUAUACACUUGUUGCUUUGUAAACAGCCUAUCACAGCAACCAUUUAACUAUUUGUUUUGCAUUUAUAUUACAUUAGAUAUUUGAUAAGUGCUCAAGAGGUGAUUUGUGGUAGACAGAACAAUGAAUGCAGGCUAUUCACAAAUACUAAGCUACUUAUAACAGACAGAAGGAAAUGCAGAGUGCACGGGGUUUAGCCCUCUGUGGUCAGUACCUGAACUCCAAGGGACAGCUGGGUUAGUAAAUAAUAUCAGUUCUACAGAAAGAGUAUGAAGUAAGUCAUUACCGGAUGAGCUUAGCGACUAGAAUGCAAGAUUGGUUCAGUAUUCCUGAGUCAGUCAAUUUUAUUUAUCAUCUCAUCAGACUAAAGAAAAAAAUAUCAUCUCAAUAGAUCAAGAUAACGUAUUUCAUAAUAAUCUAUCACUUCCUGGAAAAACUUUCAGAAAACAAGCAAUAAAAGUUCUUCCACUUGAUAAAGGGCAUUUAUUUAAAAAUAACCUCAUCACUAACAUUGUAAGUAAAAAUGGAAUAUUGAAUGGUCUCUCCUGAAGUCUUAACAAAGCAACAAUGUUGGCUUCACCAUGAUUACAAUUAGAAAAUAUGUCUGUGUGUGUGUGUGUGUGCGCACGCACAUAUAUUACCUCCUGAGACAUCGUGCUGGCCCUUUUGACAUUAGCUUUGAACAUUGUCUGGGAUAUCCUACCUAGUACAUUAAGGCAAGAAAUAGAAAAAAAGGCAUACAAAUUGGAAUAUAAAAUCUAAAUGACUUUAUUCAUAUAUAGCAUGAUAUCUAUCUGGCAAAUUCAAAGGAUACAAAAAGUUGGUGACAACAACUACUGAAUGCUUAGAUAAGCCAGGUUGUGGGCUCAAGAUAUGAACACGGACAGCAAACACUGAACUUGAAAAUUUAUAUGAGCAAUAUGACAAUUGCACUCAAAUAAUUUCAAUUUCUAUGGAUAAAACUAACAAAAGUGCAGAAUUUAUGAGCCGAAAACUCUUAAAAUAUUGGUAAUAGAAAUCGAAUUAGACAAAAACUACUGGUUGCCUACGCAUAGGUUGGAAGACUGGUUACUAUUAAACGCCAUUGCUGCUGAUAGUGCAUGCACUCAGUGAGAUUUCAGGGGAAGACAGUCCGCAUGGCCUUGCUUGGAAGUGGAAGUGGUUAGGUUACUUCUAAAAUGUGCACCGAGAAGCAAGGCAAGUCAGACAAAUUUUGAGAAAGGAAGGAAAGAAGGAAGGAAGAAAGGACAAAAGGAGGGAAGAACAACUAACCACUCCCCCCAAACAGAUCAAAACCCCUAGGAAAAAAGAUGUGAGGACGCAGAUUACUGAGGACUGCUACAAUCAAGUUUUAAAACUCCGUGGUAAGAAAACACAGCAUAAGGGGCAGGUAAGAAUGCUCACUGUGGCUGAAUGGUGGUGGCACAUGUGUUAGCUGUAUUUUUUUUAAGUAGUUUGCUUUUGGUAUGUGUGUAUAUGUUAAAGGUGUGUGUGGCAUGCUCGUAUACAUGUGCAUACUGACAGAGAUAUCCCAAUCUAUCAUGCCCCAUUAAUUUCUUUGAGACAGGUCUUUCCUUGAACCUGGAGCUAGGCCAGCAGCUACGAAGUCUCAGGGAUCCUUCUGCCUUUACCCACUAACAACAGUGGAGGUAGGUGUACCUGUACGGCUACAUCUAGCUUUUAUAAUGUGUGUACUGGAUUCGAACUUAGGUCCUCAUCCCUGCACAGCAAGUACCCCCCACCCACUGAACCACCCCACAGCUGUUUUCUAGUACUUGCGGUCCCUCUGUACUUUGGUUGUGUCUGAAUUAUUAUACACACUGCAGACAGACUUUAUGACUAUAUAUCCUUGCCUAUGAUUGUUACUUCCUGGUUUGUCUCUGUCACUGUUUGUAUGGUACUCAUCCUAAUAGGUGUGAGGUGUCCUCUCACUGUGUGAAAUGUUUUGAUUCACAUUUCACCAUGAUUCACUAAUCACACAGAAUUUUCGUACACAUCUGCUGUCGGCCAUUUGUAUUUCUUUAAUGGGAAAUUUUCUCCUCAUGCUUUUGUCUAUACUAAAAGUAUGUUUGUUUUUGUGUAUCUGCUUUGUAGUUAAGUUAUUGGAAUUCUUUUUGCCUUUGAAUAUUAUUGGCCCCUUAUCAGAUUUUUGGGGUGCAGAUAUUCUACAUUCUGUAGCUCUUUUGCCGUGGUGUUUAUGGUGCAUAAGGUUUCAAUUCUGAUGCAGACUUGUCUGUUUUUGCUUUUUUUGCACAGGCUUCUGGUAUUAUGCUGAAGAAUUCAUAGUGAAGACAAUCAUGACAUUUUUCCAGUAUGCUUUCUUUCAGGAUACAUACACGCAUGUACACACGUGCGCGUUUGUGUGUAUGCUGGGGAUCAAACCCAGGCCUCGCUCAUGUUGGGGAAACAUUCUACUAUUCAGCUACCCACUGUCAGAUGUUACCUUCUUUUUCCCCAUUACAUGAUCUAGCAUUUAUUAGUACAUUGGCCAGGCAAAUACAAAAUCUGUUUUAGGAUUUCAGGCCAUCUCUUAGUCUAGAAAUGGCAAAGCUUUGGUUUGUAAUGCUGAUCACCAUAGAGCUAACCUGGGACAAGAAGGGGCUGAAGGAGAACCCUGUCCCAGCUGACACCUUAUAGUCAAGGUCCUGUUUCUGCCAGGGAGAGGAAGAGCAGGGCGUCUCACCCUCGACAGGAAAGUUCUAUGAUAUAGGCGCCAUCCUACGUCCCAGAGCACAAGGCAGCAGAAUCAGAGUCCCCUGGCCAUUGGGAGGGUCUGAGGACUGUGGUGGUAGAAAUGAAAAUUCACAGCUACAGAGGAGCAAGAAUUGGUGGAGUUUCUAGAUGGGGUGGGUGCACUCUUGGCUGGAAGGAGUGGGUAUGGUCGCUUUUUUUUUUUUUUUUUUUUUUUUAACUGUUGUUGUUACUGUUUUAUGAGUUUGGCCCACGUGUCUUGGAGCUAAACUCUCGAAGUUCUUCCCUUUAGGUUGAAUUUCAAAGGCAAUGUCUUCUGCAGUUUUUCUGUCUGGCUGAAUCAGCCUCCAGCUCUUCAUGAUGUUUGUGGGUUCACGUGAAGGUGCUGUUCUGAGAAAGACUCCAGAGAAUCUAUGGCCUCCUCAGAGGGAGCCUGCUCAGGUAGAGAAUUCUGUUUACUGCAUAAACAAGGGAAGGUUACUUACCAAAUCCUUCCUUCCUUCCUUCCUUCCUUCCUUCCUUCCUUCCUUCCUUCCUUCCCUCCUUUCUUUUCUUUUCUUUUCAGUUUUUCUCCUAGUAAUGUAUUUAUUCCCUUCCUUCUUUUAUAGAACGAUUAGAACAUGAGGACUUGGGGGUGGGGUAAAGGGUAAACAUAUGGGUCAUGGAAGAGAAGACAAGUUCUAGAAAUGGAAUUCUUAAAAAAAAAAAAAGAAAGAAAGAAAGAAAGAAAGAAAGAAAGAAAGAAAGAAAGAAAAGAAAAUGGAAUUCUUGCUUUGCUCCCAAGUAACCCCUCUGGAAAAUGUCUAGAUAGCAAGACUGUCUUUUCAACUCAGAUGGUAAUUGCAACUCUAUGUCUCUGGUCACACUAGAAACAGAGGCCAGGAAAUAAGCUGGAGUUCAGUCUUCAAUCCCUCGGAAUGCUUAGAGGAGGAGGGAGACUGAAGGUAAUACUUAAUUUUGCCAAAGCAGACAUGUAGGGUGCCCAGCAGACUGGAAUCAAUUUCCCCUUUGGUGAGCAAGACUGGGUCAUUUACGCUGAAGAAGAAAUGAACUGUUCUUUAGAGCAUUUGCUUGUUAUGCUCUGUGACGUUCUAAUUUACACAUUAAAACCCCUAGAAAGUAUAUUCCAACUUGGUAAAGUCAGUGGAGGGGCAUAUGAGGCCCAGAGGCUUUUAGGGCAGCGAAGCUAUUAGGUGUGAUUCUGUAGUGACAAACCACACGUUUGUCAGAAAACACUGGAUCAAACACCAAGAGCAAUCCGACCAACAUGGCCUGUGACUUUCACAACAGUGUCACAGUCUCUGUGUCUGCUGCUACUGAUCUAUCUGUACCUAUCUAUAGCUAUAUCCUCAGUAGUCUGUAUUGGGUUAACUGGAGAGAAAGAGGAAGGAAGGGAAGAAAGGAAAGGGAGGAGGUGAGAAUUGAUACAUGGGAAGAUGCGCUUCCUGCCCCAUUUCUCUGUAAACCUAAAAUUGCUCAAAAAAAAAAAAAGUUUAGUAACUGGAAUAAAAAAAAGCUCUUCUACCUGGAAUUUCAUCGCUACCUCAAAUAAGCUGCCAAUGAGAAUCCAGUCAGCCUAAACCACAGAGACGCUGCUUUUUCACGGCUUCUGUACACAUCCACCACAGAUUUGUGACUGUAGAAAGAGCAAAGGCCUGGAUCAAAGCUAGGCAGGGUUGGAGGUGUGACUUUCUCCAUCCACACAGGACAGAGUGAGUCAGCUCACUUAGCUCAGGAGGUCCUUUCUCUUUUCUGUUUUCUUUCUUUCUUUUUUUUAAGAGCUCACUAGCCGUUGGCACUUGGUGACAAUAUGGAUCAAGUAGUUGUGAAUGUGUCCCCUAAAAUGAAUGGCAUUGUAUAAAAGCAUUGUAAAUCAAUAAAAUCACCUGCUCACGGUCACAUAGCUCACUUAGAGGCAACACUGUAACCUAGAUAUCAAGACUCCUACCUAAACUGUUUUCUUUCUGUGGGGUAAGGUUUUGGAGACCCCGCUUUCUCUUUGACCAGAAGCUUAUCCAAGCUGCUUACAAGCGUGCUCAGAAUGACAUUACUGCUACAGGCGCAUUAUAUAAUCUUCAGCAGGCCUAUGAUGACCGGUUACCCUUCCUAGACUUAGUUAAUCGUUGUUCUUGGAUGAUAGAGCACAACAAAGACCAGCUCGUGCCAGCAUAGAGAGCCGCACCCUUUUCUGAUGAAAUUCCCCUAGCAGCCAGCUGCAGAAUCACCCUUUCAAGUCAGUCUGGGGCCACAGGUGGGGUGUUCCCUGGGCACCCAUAGGGAGUGUGAGAAGGCAGAGUUCACCACUGGGAGUGACACACCUGGCUCCUGGGCACCUGAGGCUGCCACGUUGAGCAAGCCAGAGGUCAGAGAGGAGAAGGAGGUAGGUCAGCGGCCUGUGUUAAUAAGAAACAGUCUGGCAAAAGUCGCUCUUUUCCUGAAUCCAGCAUCCAAGCUGGCUUCUGACCUGCUGCUUAGACGGCUUCUCUUGCAGUUUUCGAAACCAGCAAAGAACUGACCAGAACGUUCCUGUUGGAGACCUUGGCAAUUUUCAGUGGUUUACUGAUUCUUUUUAGAUUCUGUGAGUUUUCAACUUUGACAUGGUUGACCGAAUUCAGGGUUUUCUUGUUUGUUUUGAUGCCUAAUUUGAUGACUGAAUUUCUAAAAUCCUUUCCCCCAACCAGGGGAAAGUCCUUCAAUUCAUUUACCUUUGAACAGCCACAAAAACACAUAGCUAGGUAUGGUGGCACAUGCACUUGGGAGGCAGAGGUAGGAAGAUACGGGGAGUUCAAGGCCAGCUAGGGCUCAAUAGUGAGACCCUGUCUCAACACAUGUAAACUCACAUACAAGUACACACACAGCGAAGAGCUGUUUCAUGUACCUUGGUGUGUGUUCGGAGCUCUUUCAGCUGGGUUUACGGAACAGGAAGCCCAAGACAAGCUUUGCGCAGGGUCACUGCUUUGCAGAUAUUCUGAGGGCAGGCUAGGAGCAGGCUACCACUCCUCCUGCCACAGUUCUCCAGCUCUGCCCCUGCUGACCGGAAAGUGGUUUGCAGCGAUGGUGCCACCUCUGAAGAACUCGUGCCAGAGCUUGCCUAUCAGAUGCAGGCUUUCCAGAUUCCCCCAUCCUCUCCAAAUCACCUAUCCUAACCUCUAAACACUUGCAAGCCUGAGUCUCCCCUGAUACCACUUUGAAAGGUCGUACUCAAGUCCUUUCCCUUCCCCAUGUUCCCUGCAGGCAUUCACUGUGUAAAGACAGGUCUUAAGUAAUUUCUAUUGUGUGCAUUUGAUAAGACAGUCCACUUCACGGUACUUUAUAGGUUGAGUUUAUUUUUUUACCUCUUUAUCAACUUUUAAACUUUUUAAAAAAAAUUUUUAUGGCUGGUAGCAAUAUGAUACUAUUGAGUGGUUAUAUCAGAUAAAGUUGGUAUUUAGAACCAUCAGGAAUGAAUGCAGGAGUUAGGGCAAAGGAGUUACAGAUGAAGCCUGGAAGGGUGGCGGCCCAGUGGACUGUGUGAUAGACAAAAAAUGGCAGGGUGGCUCAGUAUACAUCUUUUUCUUUUAGUGUAUUAGGCCUGCCUUGUUGGGUGAUGCGUGUGUAAAUAUUCACUCUAGGGAUAUAAGCAUGUGCUCUCCUAGGUGAUGAACACAUUUCUCCAUGGCUCUAUCCAACCUUUGCUGCUACAACCCUGAUCCCUGCAGCCUGGAAGACCAGAGUCAGGUGUCUCCACUCCCCGUGCUCCCCUUCAUCAUCUCAGACCCUUUAGGGCAGAUGAUGGGUCUGCUCCACUUUCUGUCAGAAAUGAUGUAACGUACGGACAGAUUGGGGAAAAUCCAGAAGCGUGCACGCAGAGAUGCAGGCUGGAUGCAGAGUGAGUACUUCCCAACACCAGAAAGGUGUCCAUGAAAUGCACAGGAAGGAGGGGGCGGCCCCACCCCCUCUACACUAGAGGACAGAACAUGUUAUGAAGUUAGGUAGGGAAACUUAAGCUCAGCAAGCGCUUUGUGCAGCUGCCACCGACAGGAACCCAAGCUGAAGCACAGCGGGUGGGGUGAGAGCCUGGCUGGCUGGCUGGGAGGUGCAUUGAAUGGUGCUGACACACAGUUUCCAGCCACUGAGAAGGCAGUGCCAAAUCCCUCUCCACUUCUCUUUCACCCUGAUAUAUUCUUGAACUUGGACGUGGUGUCAGCUAACUCCAGGAGGCGUUCUGGGAAUUGUAUUUAGAGGGCAGCACAGGCUGUCUCCUCGCUUACGGAGGCUGAGGGCUUUUCACCAAUGAAUAUGGCCUCCCAGGUUAGGCACAAAGUUGUUGCUAUGGAGAUGAGGGUACCGACACAUUGAUAUCGCUGCCCCUGGAAUUUAUCAAGACACUCCCUUCCUCCUAGCAUCCCCCCUCGAUUUUCAGAAUCAAAGUCCAAACCCCUUUACUGUAUGCUUGGGUGGAGCAAUGGGAUGCCAAUGUCACAUUUCCAAUGCUGGGACAAAGCACAGCUUGUGAAAACUCAGGUAAGACAGGUCAGGGUGGAGCUGGUCGCAUGCUGUGCCAGCCUCUGUCCCUCAGUUAUGAACCCCACUUGUCAGCCAGCAGGGGCUCCAACAUUAAGGGCUCUCAUUCUAAUUUCCCCACUGAAGUCUCCUGAUGGCGGUUGACAUUUGAUAUGCAUUUCCUUAUGCUGGGCAGCCCUUUCUCCACUGAUAUCCAGAGCCUUGAUUUAUCACGAAGAAUCUCCAUCCCAGUCCUUGGACUACCUACGCUUGUCAGAAGCACGGUUCCUGCACUGGAGAGCGCCCGUCUGCAGACUCCAGAGCACAGGCACUCCUUCAGGUCAAGCAAAGUGCAAGACUUGGGCCAGUUCUGCUUUAAGACAGAAGGGAGUGACACCCGGGCAGAGGCGGUACUCACUUCCCAUUCUGAUCUCUUAACCUUGCUAACAGUUGCUUUCUGACUGUUUACUUCCUGUGUCUUCUUAUCAACUGCAGACAAACAGGCUGGGGCCAGCUCUCCUCUUGCUUCCCAGCUUCCUCACCGUGGUCCCUCGCAAACCUCUUGUACUGCUUACUUUGUUAUCACAAUUUAUUCGCUUGGAACAUUUGUUGGACAGACCUUUCCAGGACAAAAAAAAAAAAAAAAAAAAAAAAAAGAUUCUCACCUAGCCUCUGAUACAAAAACUGCUUUAGGCUUUUAAGGAAAGCCUUUUCCAAGAAUGCAAAGCUAAGGGCCCCUCCCUUGCUGGGCAGGAGCUCACCUCUAUCUGAGAGAGGAUUAGCCCAGCAGAGAGCACAGCUGUGAGAAAGAGUCAGCGUGGGGCUUAAGGGAUGUCAGAACAGACAUUCUUCUGUCUAAUUGUCACUUAGUGAAGCUCAGGGUGUGAGUCACCUGGGCGGGGAAGCUGGUCUGCCUGGUGGCUCUGACGGCCCCUUUACUCUCUUGCCCUUAGAUUUCUCUCUCUCCCGGAUCUGGCCACCAAGGACUAUUCUCCGGUGUCUCAAGUGUAAGUGAUGGCAGAGGUGUUUAUCGUAUAUUCAGAUAAAUUCUUUAGCAGCGCUGGGUACUCCCUGCCCCACCUUCUGUCAUAUUUACACUCUAGCACUUGAGGUGGGCACCUGGGAGCCAAGCUAUCCACAGCUUUGAGCAUUAAGCUCCACCUAACCACAAAGCUGAGGCCUGCUGACUUAUGCAUUAGCCGGCCAGCAUUACCUAGGAGAUCCUCUUUCAGGCUCUCUGCCCUACCCCCAUGGGGCCUUUUCUGCCUCGUUUUAAAAGUGAUUAAUUCCAUACACUAGGGAGAUGAGGCAGCUGGAUGACAAAGGCUGCAGGCUCCUGACCCAGAGGGUUGUGUGCAGGUGCACACACACAGCCCUCCCCCAGCAAGGGUACCUGGAUGUGUGGGUCGGGGCAAUCUGAGGCUGCACUGUGGCCUGGCAGCUUUGGUCCAGCUGUAUGACCCUGCAGAGGCUGCUUUACCCGGCAGAGUUGAACUGUUCACCGUCUGGUGAACUGUUUCCAUCCUGCUGGGAAUAGGCUGAGCGAGAUGCUGCACAGAGAGUGUGUAUCUCAUACACGGUGACUAAUGAUAACCCAGGACAGGCAAUGGUUAUCCAACCAUCCCUGCUUUUGCCAGCAUACCCCAGGCAUUCAGGUCACCUGGGGAAACACAUUCUCUGAAGCCACUUCUGGGUCCCAGAUGACUACCCUGUUUGGCUUCAGACACUAGGACAAGUGACUGAGGUGCAUAUUCUACAUAUCAAAGCAGACCUGGCCUCCAGGUUCUCACAGCAUCCCUCAGUCCCUACGUGGCAUACCCUGCCUGCAACCCUGAACUUUCUAGCCCAGGGGCUGGGCUGCCCUUCCCCCAGAGGUUCUUUCUAUACAAUCCAGAGGUUUUGUCUUUUUUCUACCUGUCCCUGUCUCUGUCUCUCUCUGCAGGCACUUUCUCUUUCUCUCCCUUUCCCCAGCCGCCAGACCCCAGCCAUUUUCUCUCUUCAUGGUGACUUCCCUGGCCUUGGCCCUUGGGGCCAGUGAACUCGCCCGAGAGCAGCUUCCCAACAACCCUGCCUAUAUAGAAUCUAAUCCGGUUUGAAUUGGCUCAUUUCAUUGGCAGAGAAAUAACCUAUCUAUCACAUGCUACCCUAUCACAUGCUACGCAGAGGAGAGAGGCACUCAGAAUAGCCCAGGUUAUUCUAUCCAGUCACCUUACUUUCUAUGCAGUUCACUCAGAAACACUUCUGGGGGGAAAAAAUUAAGAUUAUGAGAUGGAAUUUCAGAUACAUAAGGGAAUCUAUGUUUAGUUAGGAAAACAAAUUAAUUCAUUUAUCAUUAUCAUUAUUACUUUUAAAAAGCACUCUUCCUUUUAAUGUUUCUUGUGCUUUGAGCAAUCAAGAAUUCAGGCUUCUCCCCCGAGUACAGCAGAAAAAAGGGCUACUGCGAAUCACAUGUGUUGUCUCUUAGUUGUAACAUUCCCACUUCCACAGUAGUUACAUCCUCCUGGGCAGAUUAAUUCAGAAUGGAAUCCUAUCCAAUAGGAUCACCUUAUCUAUAGACACGCAUAAAUCCUUAGUCUGGUGGGCACAGAACAAAGUCACUGGUGUAGAAAUUAUAUACAACUGUGGAAAUGCAUAUGGAGAUCAAGAUUAACAAGACUCCUUAGGCUACCACCAUGACUGGAGUUCCUCUGUGAAAAGGCCACCCUAUUUAUUUAUUCAUUUAUUUAUUUUUAUCUAUGCUGCCAGGGCUGUGCGAGGUCACUGCAGUCACAGCUAGCCUGUGACAAAGGCAACAUCCUCUUUAUACAGUAAGCUGCACAUGUAUUAUCGGGAGCAGGGAGCAGAAGAAAGCAAGUUUUUCCAGACCUUUGAGUCACAGCACCACUUACUAUCAGGGGCUGCAAUCAAAGGUCUACUAGUGAACCAAGAGUAACCCCAGAACUCUCUCCAUUCUCCAAAUUGACAGAAACCCCACUGACACAGGGGAAAGGGGAAGAUACUGGGUUUCUUUCCACACAGGAUGUUAUUAAAUUAAGACAGCUUGGUGACGAUCAGAUGGCAGCCAAGGUACCUCUCACAGGGAUGGGACUCCAAGGAAGCUCCGGUUGGCAUUUCUUCCGUCACCCUGUGGCCUUCUGUUUACUGGCUGCUGUGCUUAGGCUUGCCCACCAGCUGUUGCCCUCCACACCCUCCUGCCACACUCUGGUCUUAUCUGUCUAGCCCCAUGGGUGUGUGAGGGAGCAUGAACCUGAAUUUGCAUAGCAGAUGGUCAAUGGGUCAGCGAUGUCCUAUGACUUGCUGGGGAUUACAUGCCUAUGAAGUCGCAGAGCUGGCACUCAGACCAGGAUCUUCUGUCUCCAUACCCAGUCCCUGGUAGGAAUGGGCUCUGAAGGGAAGGCACUAACGAAACAAGGAGAGGGAUGAGGAUGCAGGGCAUGUGUUCUUAAGUGAAAUUUAACUUGUGGGCAAAUGGCUGGGAACUUCUCAAUUACAAGAUCAUUUCCUUCUUUAACCGCCAGGGCUAGUAAGAAAUAUACAACUGUCCUUGACAGAAGAAACAUCUUGUUACCUUGACUGCCGGCCAUUUUCUUGACUGAACUAGGAAAGGUGAUACAGCUAACUUCCAGAGCCUGUCUCGUAGGCGUUGUUUGUUUUGAGAAAUGGUCUUAUGUAGCUGAGGCCGGCCUCAAACUCUGGCAAUCUUGUCUCUACAUCCUGGUGUAACAGGUAUGAGCUACCACAUAACCUGGCUGUCAUGUUUUUAUACAGGUUGGCCAUUACCAAAAGAGGAAGUAUGCCUUUGGGACGUGAAUGUAGGCAAAGGAGUUCUGUGUUCAGCCCUUAGGCGACUCCCAUCCUCCCCAUCCAUGUUCACUCAUGGCCAGUCAGUUCUCUUCCUAAACCACAUUCCAUCAGGCAAAUGCUAGCUUUGGGAGAAGAGGCCCAUGUUCUAGGCCUGCUGCCUCUGUCUGAAAAGGUGCUGUCCUUUCUCAGGACCACAUACCCCUAAAGAGCCCUUUCCAAAGAUUCCUUCCCACACAUGAAGAGUCUAGGAGGGGUGAGUACAGCUGGGCUCUAGCUUCCGUCCCUCAUGGCCAUCCCCUAUCUGUCCUUCACCUGCAGUCUCAGCAGUCUCAAAGGUGUGUCUUGCCACACAAUCUGGUGUUCUGUCCAGAAUUAGUGAGUAGGAGAGGUUUGGGAGGUCUCUUCCUCAUAGUAGAAGCUUCCACAUAGCAUGAGCUCAUGGGGUUACAACACAGGCAUGUGACUUACAGCACUGCAGCUGAGGACCUAGGAGCCUGACACCCCUGAGUGGGUCCUGAAGCUGGUCCUGUCCUGCUAUGGCUAAGUCUCCAUGUUAGGGAUUCCUGUGUCACCUAAUUGAAUCUCCACUAAAAACGACACAGGCAAAAGGCUCUGCCUUUCGGCCGGUGGCUCUAAUACUCUUCUGUGCCUCUCUUAUUGCACAAAACAUCUGGCUCCCCAGCAGCGCUGACAUCCAGAGUUAAGAACCCUUUGAUGCCCUAGAUUUUCAUGCUUUCUGACAAGACAUCUUAUCCAAUCAAACAUGCUACAGACAGGAAGCAGAAUGAAUGCCCAGGUCCUCAGAACACUGAAUGCAGAAGAUGCUGACCAGGCUCUGUGGCAGGCAAGGGGUCACUCUGCUCUUCAUCUCGAUCAAGUGACUGCUCACAAGACUUUAGUAAGUCUCCGUGACCAAGACAGAAGCUCCAAAGGGCACCAGACUUUUCUAUGACUGUAAUGUAAGGUAAUUAACAGAGCUUCACAAUCAGCCCUAGAAAGAUUUAAAGAUAGGAGACAGCCAGACACUUUAGAGAGGAGAAAAGUCCAGGUCACCACACAUGCAUGUGGCUAGGUUUGUUGCAGUGUGCAGGCUGAUAAAACAUGGGCUUAUUUGCUAGUGUCGACCAGUGGAGGAAUAGAAUCAGAGAACUGACGUCUUAUUAGAGUGUCAUGACCUGGUGGGAGCUGGCUCUGACUCUCUCUGCUCCUUACCUACCCCAUACAGAAGUCUGCUUCCAUCUAACCAGGUUCUCUCCCAUCAAAGAACUACAGAAUAUGAUUUCUGAAACCCUGCCCAACACCUUCUAAAGCUAAGUAUGGGCAGGCACUGACCCCCAGCCUUACUUUCAUCCGCAUCUAUCCUGUUACAGUAUUUAUGAAGCAUCACCCAAAGGCUCAUAUGAUAAAGACUUGGACUUCAAUUUCAAUAUCAAAUCAUUGAGAGGUGACUGUAUGAUGAGUGUUGCCUUAAUCAAUGGAAUAAUCCAAAGAUCAGUUAAUAAUUUUGAUGGCAUUAUUUGAAGGUAGUAGAAACUUCUAGAAGUAGGGAGGGCCUAGUUGGAGGAAGUAGGUCAUUGGGAAUUUCACUGUAUGUUUUGGUCUAUCUGUUUCUCUUUUCCAUCCUCCCCCCUUCUGUCUCUGUCUCUCUCUGUGUUGCCCCAUUUGUACACAUGUUGGGCAUGUACACAUGGAAGCUGAAGGUGGCCACUGGGUGUGGUCAGAGCUCUAACUGUCAACUUUGGCACAGCCUAAGAGUCACCUGAGAAGGAAGUCUCAAUUGAGGAACUGCUCAGGUCCAGUUUGCCUAUGGGCAUGUCUAUGAGAAAUUUCUUUUUAUUGCUAAUUUAUGUAUGAGGUCCUAGCCCACUGUGGGCAGCACCAUCCCCUGGGCUGGUAGUCCUGGGCUAUAAGACAGCCAGUUAAAUAUGAACCUGUGAGGAACGCAGCAAGCAGCAUUCCUUCAUGGUUUCUGUUUCAAGUUCCAGCCCUUAAUUUCUCAAGGAUGGGCUAUGAUCUGAAAGCAUGAACCAAAGAGCCCUUUCCUCUUGGUCAGAGUUUUAUUACAGUAGCAGAAAGGAAAUGAGAACAGGUCAUCUCCUCCAUUGCUUCCCACACUGUUUUCUGAGCCACAGCCUCUCACUGAUCCCGCUGCUCAUCACUUGUUUAGUCCAUCAAGCUAGUCAGCUCCAGGAUGUGCCUGUCUGUGUGCCCCCACAGUGAGGAUACAGCAUGUUCCAUCAAGUCUGGCUUUUGAUGUGGGUGCUGGGAUCUGAACCCAUGUCCUUAUGCUUGCAUAGUAAGCACUCUACUCACUGCCGUCUUCCUGGCCCAGAAUCUGCCUUUAAAGGAUGCUAUCUCUUUCUGGUCUCCAGCCUCCGAGAAGUGAGUGACUGCUCUCUAUACCCUUCUCCUAUAGUGCUGUGCUUCACCCCAACUCAGACACAAGACAGCCAGCUAACCAGGGACCAAAGCGUCUAAGACUGAGCCAAAAUAACCUUUUCCUUCCUCGGUUGUUUGUGUCAGGCAGUUGUUACAGUGACAAAAGGACUACACAACCCUUGCUCUUGAUGGUGUGUCCUUUUGCUCACUACUCCUUUCUGGCUCCUUUCCCCUUUCGCUCCCUCCCUCCAGAUCCUUUCCAGAAGCAUGCUCUGCUAUCCUUUUCCCUUAUACCAGACCAUUCCCCAUUGCAUGCAAGUAGUUAUAGUGACCAAAUAUAAUGCUAGAUAUGGCAGAGCCUUAUAUGUGGUGAGAGCUACACACUGAAAGGAUUGGCAGUAUUUCUCCUCAGCAGUCACAUAACCAGUCUUGAUGCUACUAGCUAGUCUCUGCACGUGCACGUGCAUGUGGGUGACUCACCCAUGUGUGCACGUACAGGCCAGAGGUUGACAUCAAGAACCUUCUAUUGCUCUCCACCCUUUAAAAAUGUUUUCUUUUUCUUCCUUCCUAUGUGUAUGAAUGUUUUGCCUGCAUGUCUGUGUGAGCACCCAACAGGUGCCCCCAGAGGCCAGAAGUAAACAUUAAAUCCCCUGGCUCGGUAGUUACAGGUAAGGGUAGCCAGUGUUCUUAAACCCCACAUCCUACUUUAAAAAGUUCAUUUACUUAUUACGUUUACUGAUUUUAAUUGUUAUGUUUAUAUCGUAAACAUAAGCAAUAAGUAUUAUAUGUAAAUCAGUUAUUUACUGAUUACAUUUAUUACUUUAUACAUAUUUGUUAUAUUGAAUUAGUUAGUUAUCUUGUGUAUGCACAUGGCACAUGAAACAGUUUUCUUUCCACCAUGUUGGUCUAAGGAAUUCAAUUCACGUCAUCAGGCUUGGCAGCAUGUAACUUUCCCUACUGAGCCAUCUUGCCAGCAUUCCACAUGGGUUUUUGAGACAUAGUCUCUUAUUCAAUGCAGGCCUCACUUGGUUGCCUAGACUGGCUGGCUAGUAAGCUUCAGGGAUCUGCUGUCUAGAUUUAUAGACUGGUGACACCGGGUUUGGCCUUUUUGUAGGCACUGGGGAUCUGAACUCAGGCUCGGGACCUCAGCCCAGCAAGCAUUUUGCCCAGUGAGCCUUGUUCACAGCCCUUGGAGGGUAACUGGUUAAGUCAGUGUAUUUUGUCUUUUCUGUUAGAUUUUUACUAUUCAGAGGGUGAUUCACAGACUUGAAUCGUUGGCACCCCAGGGAAACUGGUGGGAGUGGUUAAAUCCUGGAAGCAAGUGCUGAGUCAGAAUUACAUUUAUACCCCAGAAGAGUUCUAAGUGCGUUCAAUCUUGGGAAACAUGUAACCUGUGCUGCUUGACGGUCACCUCCACAGGAUCUGAGAUCAUUUAGGAGACAGGCCUCUGGGAGGGAGGGCCUAGACUUGGUUAGUUGAGGUGGGAAUAUCCAUCGUAAAUGUGGGUGGCACUGUUUCAUGGACUGGGGUCCUAGACUGAAGGAAAAUGAGACAGCCGGCAGAGAACUAGCAUUCAUUCGUGGGCAGUGUGAUCAGCUGCUUCUUAUUCCUGCUUUCGUGCCUCCUUGAAGCUGCUUCUCUUCUAGUACCUAGUCAAAGCCAUGAACCGAGGAGCUACUUCAAACCUAAGUAUGACAAGAUACAUAUGAUAGUUUCCCCUUGAGGAAGCCUUGUAGCUUGUAGGACUUGGGGGUGCAGGAGGUAUUACCGCAUGACUGUGGCACUGCACGCAGUACAGUUCAAACCCUACCCACUGCUAGCGUGGGUAGCUGCUGAUUACCAGGACAGACCUGAUAUGAACAUGUUUACAUGCCUGAAAGUCUCUCUCUCACACACAGAAACCACAGCAGAGCUCGGUCAGGGAAACUCAUCGUCAGGCGGAGCAUUCUGGGCCUUGGCAUCUGGGAGGAAGGCAACAAAUUCUAGAGCCUUUCCAAGAACCAGUGGCCUUCUCCUGAGUGAGCCCAGGUUCAUGACAAUGGGUCCCCUGCUUUGGCAGUCCAUGCCUCCUUGCUUUUCCACACACCCUGUGCGUUCUAUCAAAUUUGGAAAGCACAUGUCAAAAGGACAGCUGGCCGGGGACUCUCAUAGCACAUGUCUUGUGACUCCUCAAAGCCCUGUGAGAGAAGAGUUAUCAAAAACAGAAACAGAACAACAACAACAACAACAAAAAUCCUACAGCAGCCUCCUCUCUCCCUUGCUGGGACACAGAAAUAUACGCUUCAGGAAGAUUAAUGUGGAGCUUAGACUCCCUCGUGUGAUCCCUUCCACACAAUCAGCAGAGCACCUCCCAGAAGGCUUAUCCCAGAUAGACAAGUCAUGCCGAAACCUAUACACGCUGAUCAUCAGGUGUGUAAGAUACCUCUAAAGGACCAAUCCAGAGGGCACUGGAGGAUUCAAACAAACAAAACCGACGUGGAAUACCAAGGAAAGGCAGACUGAGGCAACUACUCAGCUGGGAGGAGGAGUCUGAGGUAGGUUAAGGCAGUUGUGAGACAGCCCUGAGUCGAUUUUCCCCAAGUUUCAGCCUCCGCUCCUUUGGAACAGGCGGGCGGAGGUUGGGUCUGGGUGAACCCCAGGGAACACAGGUGCACAGAGCACCACGGUCUCAGUCACAGGUGCCAGAAACAUACUUGGAAGCGAGAAGACAGAGCCGAGGCUGCCCUGCUUCAGGGCACCUCCUCACUCACCCUGAUCAUCUCUGCCACGUAGCUCUCGGGCCCGGUGUACUCGGUGGAGUCCUUCACUUUCACCAGCACGAUGAAGCACAGAUAGUGCCACAUGUUGUGUUCUUCCUUAAUGUGCUCUUCAAAGGUGACGGUCUUAUUGUCAAACUUGUCCCUUUCCAAGCC